CAGGUAUAUCUAGAAUAAUCAUCAACAAUAACGAAGCCAUAGAGGCAAGCAGUAGUAGUAAGAGUUGAGUAAUGAGUGGGAACGAAAAGAUCCAUGUGAAGCAGUUCGAAGGGUCGAGUAGUGGUCAUGAUUGUCUUCGAGGGAUGUUUGGCCCUCGUCAUCUUCCCUGCUUCACAGGCACCGCAUAAGUGAUAUUUCUUGAACUUGACGCCCUCGAUGCCUAUGACAUGCUUCUUCUUCGCAAGGGUGUGGAGGUUCCUCAUGCCAGCAUGCCCUAGCCUCUGAUGCCAGAGCCAGAAUUCUGAAGCUUUUGCUAGAAGACAUAUGGCAAGCUGUGGUCCUGCUGAGAAAUCUACCAUGUACAAGUCAUCUUUUCGAUACCCUUCAAAUACUAGAGACUUGUCAGAUUCCAUUACUACAAGGCAACGAUAUUUUCCAAAUAUUACGAUCAUGUUCAAAUCGCAAAGCAUUGAGACAGACAUUAAGUUGAAGCCAAGGGAUUCAACAAGCAUGACUUUAUCCAUGUGUUGAUCCCUUGAGAUUGCAACUCUACCUAGACUCAGUACCUUACUUUUACCAGUGUCAGCAAAUGUGAUGUGGCUCUUGUCGGAUGGACGUAAGGUUGAGUCCAUAAGAAGGCUUCUUUUGCCAGUCAUGUGAUUUGUACACCCACUAUCAAUAAUCCAUUCUAUAGACGUUGGUGUCGUACCCUACAGUGCAGUUAGGGGGAUAGGCUUCACCAAGAGCAUUGUGAAGCAAAAACAUUUGACGAACCAAUGGGUUAUGAAAGCUUAGAUCUAGAUUAGGACUAAUAGGGAGAGUAGCAAGCGAUUCAGGAACUAAGUACAUAGUAAGACCAUUCGGGCAUUUGAUCUUGCACCCUACAAGAUGUUUAAGGUCCCCAGCAAUAGCGUCAGACGAUUUUGGUUUUCUGCUGGAGACCUUUCCCUGCAAAAGAGAGUUAAGCUUUCUUAGCCACCCACAUCUUCAAGGGUGGCUUAGAAGCAAUAAGUCUAAGUGCAGCAUCUGAGAAUUUUGGCUUUGGAGCCCUAGCAAACAGUCUUGCAGGCGGACAAUAGUACUCAUAAGAAUAAGCAGAAUAGUUCUUGGUCUUAUGAACAUGGCGGUUUGAUGAACCGCUCUCAUAUUCAUAUGCCUGAGUGUGGUUUCCCUGCAAAGCAUUUGUGUUAGUGCGACUCAGGUGAGUCCUCUGUCUAUAUGAAGCCUUUGGACCGUAUGAAGCCUUUGGUCUGAGGUUUUCCUUCUUCACGUGAGGUGUCAUGAUGACAUUCACAGGAAGAUUCUCCAGACACCUUUUCGGAACCCAGAUCUUCUUCAUAGGCGGUCCAUUCCUGCAGUUAGUACCAAUGUACCUGGCAAACACUUCACCAUUCUGAUUCUUAAACAGUAUAUAGUUUGCAUCAAAGGAUUCAUCAAUGAUAAUGGGGUUAGCACAAGUGAAGCCAGAUAGAUUGGAUGUAUCUGCUGAAGGUUCCUUUGCAGCAACCCACAUGGUUUUGGGGUACUGCUCAGGUUUCCAGUACGAGCCAUCGGCAUUCAUUUUCCUUACGAACCCAACACCCUCUUUCCUCGGGUUUCGGUUCAGAAUCUGCUUUUUGAGGACAUCACAUAGUGUCUGAUGCCCUUUAAGACUUUUGUACAUCCCUGUUUCAAGCAAUGUCUUCAACCUAGCAUUCUCAUCAGCAAUAGCGGUGGUAUCCUCAGCAAAGGGGUUAGUUACCACAUCAACAGUUGAAGAUAUUGCAACAGCAGUAGCAGUAGAACAUUCAGCAACAAAAGUAGCAUUAUCACGCUCAAUGCAUUUAAGACAUGGUGGUUCAAAUCCUUCCUGAGCGGAACUGAUCUGUUUGGCGCGAAGUGACUCGCUUUCCUUUUGAAGAUCUUCAUGAGCCGCUCUCAAUUUCUCAAGAUCUUGCUUCCUUUGAAGAUAAUCAUAGGAAAGCUUUUCAUGAGUUGUUGAGAGAGUUUCAUGACGACUUUCAAGUUCCUGAUACUUAACAUGAAGAUUUUUUAUGUCUUCAAUUAAGGAUUCAGAUCGAGUCAUUUCAGCACCUAACAGAUCAUUGCUUCUGUCUAACAGUUUUUGAAUAUGUUCCAUAGCUUUUUGUUGUUCAGUUGCAAUUUUAGCAAGUGUUUUGUAGCUGGGCUUUGAACCACAAUCAGAGUCAUCGUCACUAGAUGUUUGAUAGUGAGUAGUGCGUGUGUUUACCUUGGCACCGCGUGCCAUGAAGCAGUAGGUAGAAGCGGAGUAGUCCUUGUCAUUUGCAUCGGUGUCAGUGAUGAAGUCAUUGUCUUCAGUGUUGAAGAUGGACUUGGCAACGUAUGUUGUAGCCAGACUUGCGACGCCUGAAUCGGACUCCUCCUCAGACUCCACCCCCGCCUCCUCAGAAGCAGACUCCUCCUCUGAAUCCAUUUCCUUGCCAACAAACGCACGUGCCUUGCCAGAUGAGCUCUUCUUGUGUGAUGAAGACUUUGAGGAAGACUUGGAAGAAGACUUUGAGUGUUUCUUCUUCUUCUUGUCUUCAGAGUCAUAUUCCUUGCUCUUCUUCUUCUUUUUGUUCUCAUUAUCCCACUGUGGACACUCAGAGAUGAAGUGGCCAAGUUUCUUGCACUUGUGACAUGUUUUCUUCUUGUAGUCAUGAGCAGAAGCUUCAUCAUUUCUUGAGCUUGAUCGGGAAGACUUUCUGAAGCCUUUCUUCUUGGUGAAUUUUUGGAACUUCUUCACAAGCAUAGCAAGUUCCCUUCCAAUGUCUUCAAGAUCAUCAGAACUGCUGUCAGAUUCUUCAUCGGAUGAGGAGACAGCUUUUGCCUUCAAGGCACGAGUUCGCCCAUAGUUUGGACCGUAGAUAUCUCUUUUCUCAGAAAGCUGAAACUCAUGUGUGUUGAGCCUCUCAAGUAUGUCAGACGGAUCGAGUGUCUUGAAAUCAGGACGUUCUUGAAUCAUCAGGGCUAGGGUGUCAAACGAACUAUCAAGUGAUCUCAGUAGUGUCUUGACGACUUCAUGUUUGGUGAUCUCAGUAGCGCCAAGGGCUUGAAGCUCAUUUGUGAUGUCAGUGAGUCGGUCAAAUGUGAGCUGGACAUUUUCAUUGUCAUUUCGCUUGAAGCGGUUGAAGAGGUUGUGAAGGACACUGCUUCACUGAUGUCUCUGGGUAGAGACGCCUUCAUUGACCUUGGAGAGCCAGUCCCAGACCAGCUUAGAUGUUUUCAAAGCACUCACACGGCCAUACUGUCCUUUGGUCAGAUGACCACAGAUGAUAUUCUUGGCAGUAGAGUCCAGUUGAACGAAUUUCUUGACAUCAGCAGCAGUGACACCUUCUCCAGCCUUGGGAACGCCGUUCUCGAUGACAUACCAUAGGUCGACGUCAAUGGCUUCAAGAUGCAUGCGCAUCUUAUUCUUCCAGUAGGGAUAUUCAGUUCCAUCGAAGACGGGGCACGCAGCGGAGACUUUAAUUAUCCCUGCAGUCGACAUAGCUAAAACUCCAGGUGGUUAAACCGAAUCACACAGAACAAGGGAGCACCUUGCUCUGAUACAAAUUGAAAGUGCAUUAUAUCGACUAGAGGGGGGUGAAUAGGCGAUUUUUAUGAAAGUCUUCAAAACAUGGAAGUUAUGAAGACAAACGAUAUAAAUAAACUCAUUACCCUGCAGCGGAAGGUAGACUACACUAGGCAAGCCAUAGUCAAGUAUUCAAUAGAGUGAAAGCACAAUGACUAAUAGCAGCAAUGUAGUAAGGAUCAGAUAGGAAGAUAUUAUGAAGCCACACAGAACACGCAGUCACUCAGUGAAGACAAAAGAUAGUGCGAACAUACAAUGACUUCACAAGGAGUAACCGUAAGUAAAGGGAAGGGAAGAUGAAACCAGUGACUCGCUGAAGAAAAUGAUUUGUUGGACCAGUUCCAGUUGCUGUGACAACUGUACAUCUGGAUGGGGCGGCUAGGUAUUUAAACCUUAGGACACACAGUCCCGGACACCCAGUCCUGAACACGCAGCUCAGGACACCCAGUCCUCACCGUAUUCCCCUUGAGCUAAGGUCACACAGACCUCGCCCAAUCACUCUGGUAAGUCUUCAAGGUAGACUCCCAAACCUUUACAGACUUCGUUCACCGGCAAUCCACAAUGUCUCUUGGAUGCUCAGAACGCGACGCCUAACCGGCUGGAGGAUGCACAGUCCUCAAGUGUAAUAAGUCUUCAGAUCACAGAGACAAGAAGACUUAAGUGAUGCCUAAUUCUCUUUGGCUCUGGGUGGUUAGGGCUUUAUCCUCGCAAGGAAUUCUCUCUCAAAGGCUUCGAGGUGGGUUGCUCUCAAACGACAAAAGCCAUACUCUCAAUCUGAGCAGCCAACCGUUUAUGGUUGUAGGGGGUGGGCUAUUUAUAGACACUUGGCAACCCUACCUGAUUUGUCCGAAAUGACCCUGGGUCACUAAGGAACUGACACGUGUUCCAAUGGUCAGAUUUCAAACUCACACGGCAACUUUACUUAGGAUACAAGCAAAGCUGACUUGUCCGACUCUGGACAAGAUUCGCUCUCAUAGUCUUCACUCGAAGACAUAGGUUAUGGUUAGGCAUCACUUCAGUCAUUCUGACUGGUUCUCUUGGACCCCACUUAACAGUACGGUGGUUCCUAUGACUCAACACAAAAGAAAGAGAACUACGAAAGAUCUAAGUCUUCGAGCUCCAUAGGCUUCAUGUGGUGUCUUCUCUUGUCAUAGUCUUCAAUGUGAAUAUCUUCAUAUACCACCUUUGACUUCAAUGUCUUCAUACAUUUUUAGGGGUCAUCUCUGGUAGGAAAACCGAAUCAAUGAGGGACUUCUACCUGUGUUAUCCUGCAAUUCUCACAAACACAUUAGUCCCUCAACUAGUUUUGUCGUCAAUACUCCAAAACUAACUAGGGGCGGCACUAGAUGCACUUACACAUAGGAACAUGUAUAAGUCAUGAAGAAAGCAAUAGCAACAUACUAAACGAUCGGGUGCUAAGCUAAUGGAAUGGGUCAUGUCAAUCAGAUCAUUCAUCCAAUGAUGUGAUCCUGUUAAUCAAAUAACAACUCUUUGUCCAUGGUUAGGAAACAUAACCAUCUUUGAUUAACGAGCUAGUCAAGUAGAGGCAUACUAGUGACACUCUGUUUGUCUAUGUAUUCACACAUGUAUUAUGUUUCCGGUUAAUACAAUUCUAGCAUGAAUAAUAAACAUUUAUCAUGAUAUAAGGAAAUAAAUAAUAACUUUAUUAUUGCCUCUAGGGCAUAUUUCCUUCAGUCUCCCACUUGCACUAGAGUCAAUAAUCUAGAUUACACAGUAAUGAUUCUAACACCCAUGGAGCCUUGGUGCUGAUCAUGUUUUGCUCGUGGAAGAGGCUUAGUCAAUGGGUCUGCUACAUUCAGAUCCGUAUGUAUCUUGCAAAUCUCUAUGUCUCCCACCUGGACUUGAUCCCGGAUGGAAUUGAAGCGUCUCUUGAUGUGCUUGGUUCUCUUGUGAAAUCUGGAUUCCUUUGCCAAGGCAAUGGCACCAGUAUUGUCACAAAAGAUUUUCAUUGGACCCGAUGCACUAGGUAUGACACCUAGAUCGGAUAUGAACUCCUUCAUCCAGACUCCUUCAUUUGCUGCUUCUGAAGCAGCUAUGUACUCCGCUUCACAUGUGGAUCCCGCCACGACGCUUUGUUUAGAACUGCAUCAACUGACAGCUCCACCGUUUAAUGUAAACACGUAUCCAGUUUGCGAUUUAGAAUCGUCCGGAUCAGUGUCAAAGCUUGCAUCAAUGUAACCGUUUACGAUGAGCUCUUUGUCACCUCCAUAUACGAGAAACAUAUCCUUAGUCCUUUUCAGGUACUUCAGGAUGUUCUUGACCGCUGUCCAGUGAUCCACUCCUGGAUUACUUUGGUACCUCCCUGCUAGACUUAUAGCAAGGCACACAUCAGGUCUGGUACACAGCAUUGCAUACAUGAUAGAGCCUAUGGCUGAAGCAUAGGGAACAUCUUUCAUUUUCUCUCUAUCUUCUGCAGUGGUAGGACAUUGAGUCUUACUCAACUUCACACCUUGUAACACAGGCAAGAACCCUUUCUUUGCUUGAUCCAUUUUGAACUUCUUCAAAACUUUGUCAAGGUAUGUGCUUUGUGAAAGUCCAAUUAAGCGUCUUGAUCUAUCUCUAUAGAUCUUAAUGCCCAAUAUGUAAGCAGCUUCACCGAGGUCUUUCAUUGAAAAACUCUUAUUCAAGUAUCCCUUUAUGCUACCCAAAAAUUCUAUAUCAUUUCCAAUUAGUAAUAUGUCAUCCACAUAUAAUAUCAGAAAUGCUACAGAGCUCCCACUCACUUUCUUGUAAAUACAGGCUUCUCCAAAAGUCUGUAUAAAACCAAAUGCUUUGAUCACACUAUCAAAACGUUUAUUCCAACUCCGAGAGGCUUGCACCAGUCCAUAAAUGAAUCGCUGGAGCUUGCACACUUUGUUAGCUCCCUUUGGAUCGACAAAACCUUCUGGUUGCAUCAUAUACAACUCUUCUUCCAGAAAUCCAUUCAGGAAUGCAGUUUUGACAUCCAUCUGCCAAAUUUCAUAAUCAUAAAAUGCGGCAAUUGCUAACAUGAUUCGGACAGACUUAAGCAUCGCUACGGGUGAGAAGGUCUCAUCGUAGUCAAUCCCUUGAACUUGUCAAAAACCUUUUGCGACAAGUCAAGCUUUGUAUACAGUAAUAUUACCGUCAGCGUCGGUCUUCUUCUUGAAGAUCCAUUUAUUCUCAAUUGCUUGCCGAUCAUUGGGAAAGUCAACCAAAGUCCAUACUUUGUUCUCAUACAUGGAUCCUAUCUCAGAUUUCAUGGCUUCAAGCCAUUUUGCGGAAUCUGGGCUCACCAUCGCUUCUUCAUAGUUCGUAGGUUCAUCAUGAUCUAGUAGCAUGACUUCCAGAACAGGAUUACCGUACCACUCUGGCGCGGAUCUCACUCCGGUUGAUCUACGAGGUUCAGUAGUAUCUUGUUCUGAAGUUUCAUGAUCAUUAUCAUUAGGUUCCUCACUAAUUGGUGUAGGUGUCACAGAAACAGGUUUCUGUGAUGUACUACUUUCCAAUAAGGGAGUAGGUACAGUUACCUCGUCAAGUUCUACUUUCCUCCCACUCACUUCUUUCGAGAGAAACUCCUUCUCCAGAAAGUUUCCGAAUUUAGCAACAAAAGUCUUGCCUUCGGAUCUGUGAUAGAAGGUGUAUCCAAUAGUUUCCUUUGGAUAUCCUAUGAAGACACAUUUCUCCGAUUAGGGUUCGAGCUUAUCAGGUUGAAGCUUUUUCACAUAAGCAUCGCAGCCCCAAACUUUCAGAAACGACAACUUUGGUUUCUUGCCAAACCAUAGUUCAUAAGGCGUCAUGUCAACGGAUUUUGAUGGUGCCCUAUUUAACGUGAAUGCGGCCGUCUCCAGAGCGUAUCCCCAAAAUGAUAGCGGUAAAUCAGUAAGAGACAUCAUAGAUCGCACCAUAUCUAGUAAAGUACGAUUACGACGUUCGGACACACCAUUACGCUAUGGUGUUCCGGGUGGCGUGAGUUGCGAAACUAUUUCACAUUGUUUCAAAUGUACACCAAACUCAUAACUCAAAUAUUCUCCUCCACGAUCAGAUCGUAGGAAUUUUAUUUUCUUGUUACGAUGAUUUUCAACUUCACUCUGAAAUUCUGUGAACUUUUCAAACGUUUCAGACUUGUGUUUCAUUAAGUAGAUAUACCCAUAUCUGCUUAAGUCAUCUGUGAAGGUGAGAAAAUAACGAUAUCCGCCACGAGCCUCAACAUUCAUCGGUCCACAUACAUCUGUAUGUAUGAUUUCUAAAAAAUCCGUUGCUCUCUCCAUAGUACCGGAGAACGGUGUUUUUGUCAUCUUACCCAUAAGGCACGGUUCGCAAGUACCAAGUGAUUCAUAAUCAAGUGGUUCCAAAAGCCCAUUAGUAUGGAGUUUCUUCAUGCGCUUUUUACCGAUAUGACCCAAACGGCAGUGCCACAAAUAAGUUGCACUAUCAUUAUCAACUCUGCAUCUUUUGGUUUCAACACUAUGAAUAUGUGUGUCACUACUAUCGAGAUUUAAUAAGAAUAGACCACUCCUCAAGGGUGCAUGACCAUAAAAGAUGUUACUCAUGUAAAUAGAACAACCAUUAUUCUCUGAUUUAAAUGAAUAACCGUCUCGCAUCAAACAAGAUCUAGAUAUAAUGUUCAUGCUUAACGCUGGCACCAAAUAACAAUCAUUUAGGUCUAAUAUUAAUCUCGAAGGUAGAUGUAGAGGUAGCGUGCCGACUGCGAUCACAUCGACUUUGGAACCAUUUCCCACGCGCAUCGUCACCUCGUCCUUAGCCAAUCUUCGCUUAAUCCGUAGUCCCUGUUUCGAGUUGCAAAUAUUAGCAACAGAACCAGUAUCAAAUACCCAGGUUCUACUGCAAGCAUUAGUAAGGUACACAUCAAUAACAUGUAUAUCACAUAUACCUUUGUUCACCUUGCCAUCCUUCUUAUCCGCCAAAUACUUGAGGCAGUUCUGCUUCCAGUGACCAGUCUGCUUGCAGUAGAAGCACUCAGUUUCAGGCUUAGGUCCAGUUUUGGGUUUCUUCUCUCGAGUAGCAACUUGCUUGCUAUUCUUUUUGAAGUUCCCCUUCGUCUUUCCUUUGCCCUUUUUCUUGAAACUAGUGGUCUUGUUGACCAUCAACACUUGAUGCUCCUUCUUGAUUUCUACCUCCGCAGCUUUCAGCAUUGUGAAGAGCUCGGGAAUAGUCUUAUUCAUCGCUUGCAUAUUAUAGUUCAUCACGAAGCUCUUGUAGCUUGGUGGCAGUCAUUGGAGAAUUCUGUCAAUGACGCAAUCAUCUGGAAGAUUAACUCCCAAUUGAAUCAAGUGAUUAUUAUACCCAGAAAUUUUGAGUAUAUGCUCACUGACAGAACUGUUCUCCUCCAUCUUGCAGCUAUAGAACUUAUUGGAGACUUCAUAUCUCUCAAUCCGGGCAUUUUCUUGAAAUAUUAACUUCAACUCCUGGAACAUCUCAUAUGCUCCAUGACGUUCAAAACGUCGUUGAAGUCCCGAUUCUAAGCCGUAAAGCAUGGCACACUGAACUAUCGAGUAGUCAUCAGCUUUGCUCUGCCAGACGUUCAUAACAUCUGGUGUUGCUCCAGCAGCAGGCCUGGCACCCAGCGGUGCUUCCAGGACGUAAUUCUUCUGUGCAGCAAUGAGGAUAAUCCUCAAGUUACGGACCCAGUCCGUGUAAUUGCUACCAUCAUCUUUCAACUUUGCUUUCUCAAGGAACGCAUUAAAAUUCAACGGAACAACAGCACGGGCCAUCUAUCUACAAUCAAACAUAGAUAAGCAAGAUACUAUUAGGUACUAAGUUCAUGAUAAAUUUAGGUACAAUUAAUCAUAUUACUUAAAGAACUCCCACUUAGAUAGACAUCCCUCUAAUCCUCUAAGUGAUUAAGUGAUCCAAAUCAACUAAACCAUGUCCGAUUAUCACGUGAGAUGGAGUAGUUUCAUUGGUGAACAUCACUAUGUUGAUCAUAUCUACUAUAUGAUUCACGCUCGACCUUUCGGUCUCCGUGUUCUGAGGCCAUAUCUGUAUAUGCUUGGCUCGUCAAGUAUAACCUGAGUAUUCCGCGUGUGCAACUGUUUUGCACCCGUUGUAUUUGAACGUAGAGCCUAUCACACCCGAUCAUCACGUGGUGUCUCAGCACGAAGAACUUUCGCAACGGUGCAUACUCAGGGAGAACACUUCUUGAUAAUUAGUGAGAGAUCAUCUUAUAAUGCUACCGUCAAUCAAAGCAAGAUAAGAUGCAUAAAGGAUAAACAUCACAUGCAAUCAAUAUAAGUGAUAUGAUAUGGCCAUCAUCAUCUUGUGCUUGUGAUCUCCAUCUUCGAAGCACCGUCGUGAUCACCAUCAUCACCGGCGCGACACCUUGAUCUCCAUCGUAGCAUCAUUGUCGUCUCGCCAAUCUUAUGCUUCCACGACUAUCGCUACCGCUUAGUGAUAAAGUAAAGCAUUACAGCGCGAUUGCAUUGCAUACAAUAAAGCGACAACCAUAUGGCUCCUGCCAGUUGCCGAUAACUCGGUUACAAAACAUGAUCAUCUCAUACAAUAAAAUUUAGCAUCAUGUCUUGACCAUAUCACAUCACAACAUGCCCUGCAAAAACAAGUUAGACGUCCUCUACUUUGUUGUUGCAAGAUUUACGUGGCUGCUAAGGGCUUAAGCAAGAACCAAUCUUACCUACGCACCAAAACCACAACGAUAGUUUGUCAAGUUGGUGCUGUUUUAACCUUCGCAAGGACCGGGCGUAGCCACACUCGGUUCAACUAAAGUUGGAGAAACUGUCACCCUCUAGCCACCUUUGUGCAAAGCAUGUCGGGAGAACCGGUCUCGCGUAAGCGUACGCGUAAUGUCGGUCUGGGCCGCUUCGUCCAACAAUACCGCCGAACCAAAGUAUGACAUGCUGGUAAGCAGUAUGACUUAUAUCACCCACAACUCACUUGUGUUCUACUCGUGCAUAUAACAUCAACACAUAAAACCUAGGCUCGGAUGCCACUGUAGGGGAACGUAGUAAUUUCAAAAAAUUCCUACGCACACGCAAGAUCAUGGUGAUGCAUAGCAACGAGAGGGGAGAGUGUGAUCUACGUACCCUUGUAGACCGACAGCGGAAGCGUUAGCACAACGCGGUUGAUGUAGUCGUACGUCUUCACGGCCUGACCGAUCAAGCACCGAAACUACGGCACCUCCGAGUUUUAGCACACGUUCAGCUUGAUGAUGAUCCCCGGACUUCGAUCCAGCAAAGUAUCGGGGAAGAGCUCCGUCAGCACGACGGCGUGGUGACGAUCUUGAUGUACUACCGUCGCAGGGCUUCGCCUAAGCACCGCUACAAUAUUAUCGAGGACUAUGGUGGAAGGGGGCACCGCACACGGCUAAGAAUAUGAUCGCGUGGAUCAACUUGUGUGUCUAGGGGUGCCCUCUGCCUCCGUAUAUAAAGGAUCAAAGGGGGGGUGCGGCCGGCCAGGAGAGGGCGCGCCAGGAGGAGUCCUACUCCCUCCGGGAGUAGGAUUCCCCCCCUUUCCUAGUUGGAAUAGGAUUCGGGAGGGAGGAAAGAGGAGAGAGAGAAGGAAGGGGGGCGCCGGCCCCCUCUCCUUGUCCUAUUCGGACUAGGGGGGGAGGGGCGCACGGCCCAGCCCUGGCCACCUCUCCUCUCUUCCACUAAAGCCCACUAAGGCCCAUAUACCUCCCGGGGGGUUCCGGUAACCUCCCGGUACUCCGGUAAAAUCCCGAUUUCACCCGGAACACUUCCGAUAUCCAAAUAUAGGCUUCCAAUAUAUCAAUCUUUAUGUCUCGACCAUUUCGAGACUCCUCGUCAUGUCCGUGACCACAUCCAGGACUCCGAACAAACUUCGGUACAUCAAAAUGCAUAAACUCAUAAUAUAACUGUCAUCGAAACAUUAAGCGUGCGGACCCUACGGGUUCGAGAACAAUGUAGACAUGACCGAGACCGAGACACGUCUCCGGUCAAUAACCAAUAGCGGAACCUGGAUGCUCAUAUUGGCUCCCACAUAUUCUACGAAGAUCUUUAUCGGUCAGACCGCAUAACAACAUACGUUGUUCCCUUUGUCAUCGGUAUGUUACUUACCCGAAAUUCGAUUGUCGGUAUCUCAAUACCUAGUUCAAUCUCGUUACCGGCAAGUCUCUUUACUCGUUCCAUAAUACAUCAUCUCACAACUAAUUCAUUAGUUGCAAUGCUUGCAAGGCUUAUAUGAUGUGCAUUACCGAGAGGGCCCAGAGAUACCUCUCCGACAAUUGGAGUGACAAAUCCUAAUCUCGAAAUACGCUAACCCAACAUGUACCUUUGGAGACACCUGUAGAGCACCUUUAUAAUCACCCAGUUACGUUGUGACGUUUGGUAGCACACAAAGCGUUCCUCCGGCAAACGGGAGUUGCAUAAUCUCAUAGUCAUAGGAACAUGUAUAAGUUAUGAAGAAAGCAAUAGCAACAUACUAAACGAUCGGGUGCUAAGCUAAUGGAAUGGGUCAUGUCAAUCAGAUCAUUCAUCCAAUGAUGUGAUCCCGUUAAUCAAAUAACAACUCUUUGUCCAUGGUUAGGAAACAUAACCAUCUUUGAUUAACGAGCUAGUCAAGUAGAGGCAUACUAGUGACACUCUGUUUGUCUAUGUAUUCACACAUGUAUUAUGUUUCCGGUUAAUACAAUUCUAGCAUGAAUAAUAAACAUUUAUCAUGAUAUAAGGAAAUAAAUAAUAACUUUAUUAUUGCCUCUAGGGCAUAUUUCCUUCACUCCUAUGUUCUCUCAAGAAGUUAGAGAUUUGCUGGAGCCUGGAUCUGGAGUUCCGUGGGGGUAGCAGAGACUUCGCCGGAUUCACCUCUCUUACGAAGCUAAAACUUAUUGGUUGCCGCAAGCUGGUCUCAACAUUGGUGUGUGAAACGAAAGAUGAUGGUACCAUGGAGAUUGGAUUACUCCCACCAUCACUUAAAGACCUUAGGAUGGAUCCUCUCCCAAGAAACUUGCAGUCAUUCACUCCUCAAAGCCUCCUCUACCUCAAAAAGUUACGUCUAUCUUUUGGCCCAAGUCUGAAGUCUGUAGAGCUGCGUUCCUGUACGGCCCUAAUGAAGCUGGAUAUCAUGUUCAUGGGGUGUGUCCAGCUGGCUGUACUGGAGGGCUUGCAGUUUCCCAGCUCCCUUCGAAGCUUGAAGAUGGAGAUGAAUUCGGAGCUGUCUUGUGCAUGGGAUCUCAAACUGCAGGAGCAAGAACAGGGUGGGAAUCAAAUUCAGCUAUUUCCUCCGUCACUUGAUAAACUUGAGAUCACAGCUGUCACGGACAGGGUCCAAUCCCGUCUUCUGUCCUGCCUUCCUGCCAUCACCAAAUUAGCUAUAUGUCAAAGUCCAGAACUGACGUCUCUACAGUUGGCAUACUGCACGGCACUGAAAGAGUUGGAAAUUGGAGACUGCGACUUGCUUGCGUCGAUCGAGGGCCUCCAGUUCUGUAGAAACCUGACAUCCUUGAAAGUAUUUAACUCCCCCGGCCUAUCUUCCUGUUUGGAGCUUGUGUCACACCAACAAGGGGCCUCUGGGAUCUAGUCUGGACUGAAAACUCUUGAGAUUGAUGACGCAUCUGUCCUUUCCAUGCCCUUCUGCAAACAACACACAUCUCUAACACACCUAGAGUUCAGUUCUCAGGGUGGUGAACAGAGAGAGAGCUUGGUGAGCCUAACAGAGGAACAAGAGAGAGCGUUACAGCUUCUAACCCCCCUUCAAGAACUUGGAUUCUCAUGGUAUAAGAAUCUCAUGUCACUUCCUGCAAACUUAUAUAGCCUGACCUCCCUUGAUAGGUUAUCUAUCAAUCAUUGUCAGAGCAUCAGAAUGCUGCCAGACAUGGGCCUCCCAACUUCGCUCAGGCACCUUCAGUUAUCCUGUUGCAGUGACGAGCUAAGCAUGCAAUGCAGAAUUGCAGCAACGGAGAAGCUACGGGUCAGGAUUGAUUAUCAGUAUGUGAAUUAAUCACCAGUGUCUACUUCUAAGGUACGGUUUCGGAGCAUUUUUCCUACAGAAAUAGUUUACACGCUCACCCUCUUCUUGCUAAAAGUAAUUCAUCUCUCUGCAGACUGCAGCCACCCGAGAUGUUGUGCAUAUUGCUGCGCUCGCUGUCACUGGCACAUUUGUGCGACUGCUGUAUACCUAUUUGGCUUUCCAUCAGCCACUCUAGUUGCAUGAUGGAUGGACCAAGGAAACCAUGUUGAAAGUGUCAACUCUUUUUGUUUAUCAGGGGCAUUAUGAAUUUUCGCUCAUUCUUGUGUCUUUGCUGGCUGGCUGGAUGUGAGCUAUGCUGUAGCAAGCCUUACCAUGGUAUGUUUUUCGAUUUUAGUUUUAUAUAUCCUGGUUAGAUUUGUCAGUGGCUCAGUGCUGUAGUUAUUGGUGAUAUUAUUUGCUGAAGCAUUGUUAUUUUGGUAGUUGCUCAAGCAUCGUUAUUCAGUAAAAUCGGCAGCGGACCGCUGGAGCCUAAUCUCACAUAGGAUGCUAUCAUGUUAAAUGAGUGAUGACUACACAUUGUUAUUUUGUCCAGUUUAUUGUUUGUUUAUCGUCGCCGUAACUAACACGUGACUGCACCUUUUCUGAUUUAUCUGUCCUACCUUAUCGUAGACGCGUGUGUUUGCCUGAUUUUAAAUGUUGAUCAUGUGUUUCAGCUCUCGACAUGUUAUAUCGUAGUGAAAAAGAAAAGAAAGAAAGCGUGUUUUAAAAAGAAAUAAAAUUAUAAGCAUUUAUGAUGAAUCUUACGCCACUCACCCUUCUGUUAACACCUGCGUCCUGUACAUCUAUAAGCAGAAUAUAGAAUUGCUCUGCGUAUUAUCCCAGUCCACAGUGAACUGAACACAAUGGGCGGCUGUUAUGCAGUGCCGUACGCAGAUCGUACCAAAAUUAUCACACGUGUACCAGCACUCCAAGCAGAAUCAAGUAGGAGCUUAUUUGAUUCUUGUUUCACAUUUGUUAAUCUGGUGCCUGCGACACGCAUCUAAUCUAAGUAGGAUGAAUUUACUGAUGAGCCGCUAAUCAUGGUGUCAGGUGUGCUGGUGUGGAUUGGCAGUUGAGCCAUGUCCAAGAAAAACUGAGGACAGCACAGCAAUCAGAUAUGUUGGUGACAAUUGUUAAACUUCAGUUAUAAUCAAGUCUGUCGCAUGUAUCCAAUGCACCGUAUCUAACAUAUAAAGCCUCCUAGAGUGGUAGUCACAACGAAGGCCUUGAGCGCACGGUACCACGGGAGAGAAAAAAGACCACCGCACCGCGCCGCGCGUGGGGGUGCAGCGCACCACGCGAAGGGAAAAAACCACCGCGCCGUGGUGAGCCCCGCGCCCGUCCGCUUUCUCCUCCAUCCCCCUCGUUUCCAACCCUAAAAUAUUUUCCCCCUACAUCCGCUCAUCCCCUCCACUCCCUCGACAACGGUGGCGGCGGCCCCCUCUGGUGGCGGAGGAGGAGGGGGGAGAUGGUGGCGCGGCGGCGACCUUCCCCCCUCGUCAUCCUGGAUCCCACCGGACCUGAGGCGUGCGGGCGCGGCGGCGACCUGCAAGGGAAGGGCGACACUCGAAUCGAUCCAGCGCCAUGGAUCGUUCCCUGCGGGAGAAAGAGAAAAUGAGGGAGAGAGAAGGAAGGAGAGGAAGCAGAAAGAGAGAGGAAAGAGGAGAGGGAGGUGCAGCGUUGACCGACGGCUCGCGCGGUGGUGCGGCAGACGGCGGCCUCAGCGGGUGUGCGACGACACCACGCAGCUCCUGUGCCGCGCAACCCUCUCCUCGCAGGCUCAACAGGAGGUUCCCAAGCCAGCUCGGGCCGCUGCUACCUCUUCCUCGCCGCCCAACAGGUCGCCGUGCUGGGGGAGCAGGGUAGCAUCGGGUCCACAGGCUGGGGUGGAGGCCUUCCCAACUCAGACUGCGCGUCCUCCUCUUCGCCGCGUCAUCGCCCUGGCCAGCUGAGCACCAACCCGACGGCUCCGGCAUCCGAUGCCAACACAAUGAGGUGAGCUUCACCAAAUACUCUCUCUCUCUCUCUACCUAUCUCUUCAUGCGGCCCCCUCCCUCUCUGUAAUCUUUCGAGAUUGAUUUUGUUUCUAGGUUAUACUCCAAUCAAACAUGUGAAUAUUUACCAGAGUGCUUCAAGAUCGAUCUGAUGAUCCACUACCGCUCUGCUGUUGGGACUAAUUUGGAUGGGAAUGGUGAUUUGAUGGUUGAUUACGAUUACUUGGUUCUUGCUCUUGGAGUUACUGUGAAUACAUUCAACACUCCUGGUGUGAUGGAGCAUUGCCACAUUCUGAAGGUAAAAUCCUGAUUGGCAUUGUGUGUCUCUUUACUGUUCUGCUAUUUCUCAUGUUUAAAUCCUGAGAUGUAAGUUACAGUUUAAUUUCCUGCAAACUCUUGAGAUAUAUGGUAUUUGUACCAUGCAGUAUUAGUCAUAUCUUGUGCUUACAGCCUCACAUUGUAAAUGUCAGGUAGUGGAGGAUGCCCAAAAGAUUCGAAAGAGCGUGAUAGACUGCUUUGAAAAGGCGUCACUUCCUAACCUCAGUGAAGAGGAGAAAAGGAAGAUCCUUCACUUUGUGUUUAUCAGUGGUGGACCUACUGGGGUUGAAUUUGCUGUGGAGUUGCAUGAUUUUCUUGUCGAAGAUCUGGUGAAGCUAUAUCCUGCAAUUGAAGAAAACUCUCAACUCCUACUUGCGCUCCGCCUCUUCCUCCUUUUCAUCGCUCAAUAGGAGGCAGCUCAUCUGGCCGUGCAGCAGACCACGUCCUGAGCGGGUCGGUGACGGCGGUUGCAGCUGGUGCACGAUGGCGAUUCCAACGACAACAGGAAUCUGCAACUUGUUAGACUUCUUUGCAACCCCAACAAGGCCCUCAUCUGCUUUGUCUACAUAUAUGCAUGAUUUCUAUGAUUGGAAUCAGAUAGCACUAACUAUGUGUCAGACUGCUAAUAUUUAUUUGCUUGAUGAUCCUUGAAGCGCACUCUACGCUCAUACAUGAUCCCACAUAUUCUAGGUAUAAUGAUACUAUCUUUAGUGUUCUGUUCACGGGAAUUUGACAAGUCACUGCUUAAGAUUUCUUAACUUUUGUACAGAUGCUUUCUUGAGGCUUUGGCUAAAAAUCUGUGGUGUACGUCACUCAUCAGGUUGAGUUUUUACCAGUUGCUGAUCUUAUUAUUCUGGUUAUAUUGUCAUGAGUAAAAAAAAUAGUGCACUUCUUUUUGAGGAAUCUUCAUGCAUAUUUGUUGCAUCCUUACAAAGUAAUUGUACUUUAGGUAACUCUGACGGGCUAAUGCCUUAAGCUGGGACAUACAACAAAAUACUUAUUUUAUGGGAGGAGUUUAUGGAACUGGGUAGUGCUCAUCAGGAUGCUCUUGCAGCAAUUGACACAAUCGAUGUGGCUAAUGGAGCCAGUGAGUAACCUUGCCACCCUUCAGUAUGGUCAGUUUUAAUAUAUACUACAAUUUCUGUAUGCAAGAGUGACCUUCUACUGUUCUAAAUGUAGUGUUCCGUUUAAAAAGAAAUUCCAUGCGAAGAUUUAAUGUGUACGAUCGAACUAUCUUUAGUUUAUCAAGGUACUCUUUCUAAUAUUUUACUGUAAUAGCAGGUUUUAGCCAAUAUUUAGUAUUGAGGUGUUGAUGACAGCAAAUACUAUCCUGCUUGUCUGUUUUCUAGACGUGUUUCUAUAUGCUUUUCAGUUGUUAGUUGUGAUACUUUUUAUUGUCUUUCGAAAUUAAGAUGUGCUCUGUAUAUGUGAUGAUACUAUAUACUUUCUAUAGUUAUUGAACUAUAUACCAUUUUUUUAUUUAUGCUUAUGGAGUGCUUAGUUAAUUGCUUGCAAGUAGAUUUUAUAGAUACCAAUAGAAAUAAUAACUUGGGAUUUAUUUCUGUUCAACCUCUGUGAUCUAGAUGAGCAAAGCAACAACUUUGGCUUUAUUUCUUUGUGAUGUAGAUGAGCAAAACAGUAACUUGGAUUUUAAUUCUGUUCUCUAUGAUGUAGAUUAGCAAGAUUUUUAACCAACAAAGUAAUUUAUUUUAGUAUGGUUUUGUCACUAUGAUUGGUAAUAUGAAGUUUAUUUAUUCUAGGUUCCUAUCUUUAGACAGUCACAUCCACGUUCGUACUUUUAGAAUAGUUGUUGCAACGGGGAAGAGCAUUUCUGCAAUAGCAAGAUAUCAGGACCCAAUGGGCAUAGGCCGAACCAACCACCAUCACUAUUGCUUCAGGAUUAGAUAGACAACUUCCACUCAUGAGGUGAGUUUGCUUAUUCUACUUUCAGUGUACUGUGCAGAUAUGUUGGUUAGAAAUUUUGCUAUGUGCCUGUCAAGUUGAUUAGAUAUGAAAAAUAUGCUCUAUAAUACCCACAUAAUACUUGUUUAAAUUGGCUUUUCCCUGGUUCAUCAGUGCACACAUGAAACCGGUAAUAAGAAGAGAAUCACCUGAUUUUUUUAUAGUCUAUUUUAGUAAGCAUGUUCAUAAUAUUAGGAUAGUUUAAUUUGAGAACAAUUGGCUGGAGGAACGAUGUAAUUUGAUACUCUGUUAUGUUGAUCUCCAGAGAAAUUUGGUUUUUGGUUUUUCAUUGAUGUACGUUAAUCUGUUGUGAAUCUUGUUUGCUUGCACCAAUUAUAUGGGUAACAAUUAGAGGGGAACUUUUGGAACUCAUACAUUCUAUUUCAGUUAAUGUUCAAAGCAACUUUCCUGUGUGAAUCUGAUAAUCUCACUGAAACCUGUGUUUCAUUGUAUAUAUUCAGCCUGUCGAGUCAAGUUUCAGACUGAUCAUGUAUCCCCUUGAUAUUCACUGGAUGGAAUCCCCUGUUUUACUCAAACUGAACCUUCUACAAACAUCGGAAAAGCAACAGUAGUAAAGAUGGACAGAAAUUCCAAAAAUAAGGUUAGUUCUUUUUUGUUCUGUAUCAUUCUCUUUACCGUUCCUUUUGGUACUACACUCCAAAAAAGAGGCAAUCGGAAAUAUUUAGGUCCACUGAAAAGUAAUUCUGGAGCUCGCAGAGUUCUCAUUUUUCAGAUUUGCAGUAGUAUUCGCUUUUGGUUUACAUGAUAUUGGUUGUAUCUCCCUGACAACUGCUCUUCGGUUGGUGUAGGUGUUUUUUAUGGAUGUAGCUGGUUGCGAUGAAGCUAAACAAGAAAUAAUGUUAUCACUUAUUACCUUUGUCCUUCAAAUUUGAGUAUAGGCCUGUGAAAUAAUGAAUAUUUGUGUCUCAUUGCUCCAGCAUGGUCAAUAAAGAUAUGUUGACCCAGGAAAUGUGGGUUUAUCAUAGGUCCUACUGUAUACGUUGAUAUAUGAAAUAUGACAUUUCCGGUUAUAUGCUAUCACUUAUUACCUCUGUCCUUUGCAUUGAGUAUAGGCCUGUGAAAUAAUGGUGUAUUUGUGUGUUGAUUCGUCUGUUUUCCUUCAUGUUCUGGUUCUAAGGUACCAGGACAGACCCAGAGUUAUUUGUAAAAAAGUGCUUUCCAAUGUACCAAUAUUUUGUAUCCUUUCUAAUGCUUAAAAAAGAGGCGAAUAAUUCUUUUAGAAUAUGUAAUAUCCGACAUGUGUAACGCACCUUAAGAGACUACUAAGUUAUCCUGUAUAAUUGGCACACCCUACUUUUGUAGUAAUAAAUAUAUCAUGUGCUGCUCCAUACAGGUGAUACAUUGCAUUUACCAUAGUAUUUGAUUACAUAUGAUAACAUAAAAUCUGUUUUUUCCUUAGCGGUUCGGCACACUUAGUGCAUAGAAACAGAGUACAGGCAAAUUGAUUAGAUGCAUUAGUUAAGAACACUGAUUUUUUUUGGAAAGCUUCAUCAUGACAUCGAUAUUGGUUUCGCCUUACUGCCACUCAGAGGUUGGAUGGAGCAUCGAGGAUUUCAGGCUUGGGGUGGCCACAUGUUGCAGGAUAGCAGGAAGAGUUGGAUGUGUUCUGCAGAGACCAGGUGAUCAAUGUCGUGUACAACACUUCUAAAUUUGGUCAUUUAUUUAUCCUCAUAGCUGGUUCCCUUGAUACUUUUUCUUAGAAACAUGAUCAAAGAUACAAAAAGUUUUACUUCUGAAGCAGAAGUGGCAGUAUAGUGUGCAUGCCGUAUUGACUUGUUCAUGCCAAUGGCAGAAGUAUCUGAUUCAUCCGACCUAAUUCAAGUUAACUUGAGUGCAGCAGUAGAUAAACAUUCACUUACAAAUUCUACUCCAAAUGGACAGUAAUAGUAGUACGUGGGCAGUGUAAAAUGUGUUUUUGUUAGUUCAGUGAAAAUUAGAGAUCAACCUGAUGGUACUUCAUUUUUAUUCUAAUCUGCCAAAUGCUAUUAAGGAAAUGAAGUUUCUUCCUCGAUCAAGUUAUCAGUCCUUGGUUCACUCUUACCCUUUGUGCUGGAUGAGACGGGGAGGAGGAGGAGGAGAGUGUGGGGGCAUCUGGAGAGGAGCGAGGGGUGAGAAGUAGCAAGAGGUUCCUUAAUAGCAUUUGGCAGAUUAGAAUAAAAUUGAAGUACCAUCAGGUUGAUCUCUAAUUUUCACUGAACUAACAAAAACACAUUUGCUCCACAUUUCCCUUUGCGCUGUCAGUGAAAAUGUUAUACGUCUUAGCUACCUCUGCUUGCUUUUGAUGUUCAGUUCACUACUUUACUGCUCUUUCCUUAAUUUCGAGAGGACACGGGAGAGGGAGCUACAAUGGCAGGAGAAGAAUGCAACGAGGUGCGGUCUUCUGUUCGAUGCCAAGGGCCUGUCCGGCAGUGAUUUCCUCGGUGAGUACUCCACUACACGCCUUCCGUCGAAUCCGGAGAAGAACAUUUAUCACCACCACCAUGCAUGUUCUUGGCUUGGCUUGGGGUUCGUCUGCUAAUGGAGAUUGAUCUGAUUUUACCUGUACUUGCAGGGAUGAUCUAGAUGAUAUAACAAAAGGAUUAUAUAUGCAUUUGUGUGCUUCAGAAAAGGUUACUGCUACAUUCAACUUUUCACCAGAAAUGAUUCGUAUAUCCUAAAGAUGUUGCUAGCGUCUUGAAGGAUUACUUAUAUUUGCUCCCUAAUUUCCUGAAUUAUACGAAGUGAGUUGGAUCAUCGAGGGUUGGCGAAUAUUCAAAUUUGUUUUGUUCUUUAGACCAGACAUUAGCCCUUUCUCUCUAUUUAACAUAUUUCAAAUUCUCAUGUUACAUUAUACUCCCUCCGUCCCAUAAUGUAAGACGUUUUUUGACAUUAAUGUAGUGUAAAAAAAAGUCUUACAUUAUGGGACGGAGGGAGUAGUAAAUAUUCAAUUCACUUCUAUUUUGUAGACAGGUCAUUAGCCUUUUCUCUCUAUUUAACACAUUUCAAGUUCUCAUGUUACAUCAAAAAUACGCUGGUUAGGAUGUUUGCAACAUGCCGUGUGUUGUAAUCUUUGUCCACUGUACAUGCACAUAUUAAAUACUUUCAUUAGUACUUUUACAUAUUUCAAGUUCUCAUUGUUCAGUUUGUUGGUUUAAUAGAGAAUGUUCCUGAUCCUUACUUUCAUAGGUACAUUUAGAAGUCACAAUAGAGAAGGUUCGUAGCCUUGGCUCCAAAGCUUCAAGCUCUUAUAGAAAUUAGAACUGAGGGCCUUUUAAAAUGAGUCCUGCAUAAUAGUGUUUUUCAGUAGGAUGCGGAAUUUUUGUUUGUCUGAUCGGCUAUCCUUGGUGCUGAUUUUCGUACUGAUUUCAUCAUCAUAUGACUACAAUAAAGAAGCUGUGUGUAUAAAUAUUUCUAACUGCUGAUACUUUGCAUCAGUGAUUUCAAUUCUGUUGGUCCUCCUUAACAUUGCUUGGGAAUGUGAGGCUUAAAAGUUUCAACCCUGUGCAAUGUGCUUCUCGGGUGUGGGUUUGUGUCUGACUAAUUAACGGUUCUGUUAAUACUGAUAUGUCCUUGUACAUUAUAUGGGUAUUGCAUCGCUUGUACUUAUACUAAGUGGAAAUUUUUCUCAUAUGUUUCAAUAUGUCCCCGAAUAAUAUUAAUGUACACUCUUUCAAUACAUGGCUUACCCUUGGCCUUUGCGCCAUUGGCGCAACUGGUCAUCUAGUGUAUUCAACGGGCGGCGGACUUGUAGCGUAUCCUAGCAGGAGUCUUCGGUUAGAGGCUAGGAGAUGUUUAUCUUCUGUAACCAUAAUUCUAUCUCCUUCUGGCUUGAUUCCCAAGUUGUAAUCCUAACUGUAUGCGUUAUCAGGACUCGCACCUCUGCCUAUAAUAUACGCAGCGUCCCCUCGAUACGAGGCAAGACAUUUUCCGCUUCGUACAUGGUAGUCAGAGCCUUUUCUUUUCCCAUCUAGAGCUUCUGUCGAACCCAUCCAGCCAAGCCAUGUCUUCCUUCGGCUCCUCCUCGCCUAACCUCAACAAUCAGGUUACAGAGAAGUUAUCAGGCAUGAACUGCGUGCUGUGGCGCACGCAGAUCACCCCUCAGCUGCGCGGUGCCGGCGUCUUUGGCUACAUCGACGGCACCAACCCGGAGCCGGCCAAGCUCCUCGUCACCACCAAGGAUGGCAAGGAAACUUCAUUGCCCAACCCUCUCCACCCUAUAUGGGUACGGGAGGAUCAGCAGGUCCUUGGCUACCUGCUGAAUAACCUCACAAAAGAGGUCCUGGUCACGGUGACCACGGUCACCACGGCGGGCGCGCUCUGGACGACGCUUGCGGCCAUGUUCUCGUCGCAGUCGGCGAGUCGCAUCAACAACAUCUGCGCCUCCCUCAUCAACGCGCAGAAGGGAAACCUCUCGGUGGCCUCCUACUUCGCCGCCAUGUGUGGCUAUGCCGAUGAGCUGGCCGCGGCGGGCAAGCUGAUCCAGGACGACGAGCUCAUAUCGUACAUCAUCCAUGGGCUGGAGGCGGACUAUCAGCCUCUGGUGUCGGCCCUCGACGCCCGAGUCACUCCUGCAACCCUCGACGAGCUCUUCGCUAUGCUGUCAAACUUUGACCAGCACAUGGCCUAGUUCCAAGGAUCCGGUGGCUUCAAAUCAUCUGCCAACAUGGCGUCGCGCGGUCGGGGUGGCGGAUCCCGCUCGCGUGGCCCUCCUCGCUACAAGGGGGGGCGAUCUGGCGGCGGCGGCAAUGACCGCGGCCACUCUCCUCCGCGCUCGGGCGGCCGAGGCCGCGGGCGCGGUGGUGGAAACCGAACGCAUCCAGAAACCCCAAGGUGCCAAAUCUGCGGGAAGCCCGGCCACACCGCCAAAGAUUGCUGGUACAGGUACGAUGAUGAUGUUGAUUCUCAAGACGAUGACAAGGUAGCUGCUGCCGCUGAUGGUUCCUACGGUAUUGACACCAAUUGGUACGUCGAUAGCGGAGCCACAAACCACAUCACAAACGAGCUUGAGAAAGUCACCAUGAAGGAAAAAUACCGCGGCAAAGAUCAAAUUCAUACUACCAGCGGAGAAGGUAUGGGUAUAAGUCACAUUGGUCACUCUAUAUUUCGUACCCCUAGUCGCAACCUACACAUUAAGAAAAUUUUGCAUGUUCCUAGUGCCCACAAAAAUCUUCUUUCUGUCCAUAGAAUUGCCUUUGAUAAUAAUGUCUUUCUCGAGUUUCAUCCUUUUUUCUUUUUAAUCAAGGAUCAGGCAAUGAGGACAAUUCUCUGUCGAGGUAGAUGUGUUCAAGGGCUCUACCCGUUGAUUCCGGGGUUUAGAAGAUUCAGUAAAUAAGCUUGUGGUGCUAUCAAGCUUUCGUCUACACGAUGGCAUGAUCGUUUAGGACAUGCCUCUUUCUCUUUAGUAGAAAAGUUGCUUAGGAAAAAUAAGCUCCCGUUUGUUGGUGAGCGUCAUGUUGAAACUAUUUGUGAUUCAUGUCAACGUGCUAAAAGUCAUCAAUUGUCGUAUCCUAUUUCUACUAGUGUCUCUACCAAACCAUUGCAACUCAUUUUUCUGAUGUUUGGGGUCCAGCCCCUACCUCUGUUGGUAGACAUACUUAUUACGUCAGUUUUAUUGAUGACUAUAGUAAAUUCUCUUGGAUCUAUCUCCUCAAACGGAGAUCCGAUGUGUUUCAAGUUUUCCAAAACUUUCAAGCACUUGUUGAACGAAAGUUCGAUAGCAAAAUCAUCGCUGUCCAAUCGGACCGGGGAGGGGAAUACGAAAAGUUAAAUUCCUUCUUCCAAAAUCUUGGCAUUUCACAUCACGUGUCAUGCCCGCAUGCUCACCAACAAAACGGUUCCGCCGAACGCAAGCACAUGCACAUUGUCGAGGUUGGUCUUGCCCUUUUGGCAGGCGCAUCCAUGCCUCUCAAGUUUUGGGACGAAGCUUUUCUCACAGCCGUUCAUAUCAUCAACAUGCUACCUAGUCGUGUUAUUCACAAUGAAACUCCAAUAAAACGACUCCUCCACACUAAACCAGACUAUAAGUCUCUCCGUGUCUUUGGAUGUGCAUGUUGGCCGAACCUUCGUCCCUACAACAAUCGCAAACUCAUGUUUCGCUCAAAACAGUGUGUUUUCAUAGGGUAUAGUUCACAACAUAAAGGGGUCAAGUGUUUAGAUGUCUCCACUGGUCGUGUCUACAUCUCACGUGAUGUAGUCUUUGAUGAAACCAAAUUUCCGUUCGCUGAUCUUCAUCCCAAUGCUGGUGCACUCCUACAAAAAGAAAUCCUUCUUUUGCCUCCUCAUCUCACUGGUUUUGAUCAAGCGGGACCUAAUAUAGAUGAUUUAUUGUUGACUAACCCAUCUAAUGAUGUGCAUGAGUUUUGUGUUGAUGAAACAGAAGAAAUCCGUGCCGAAACUGAAGAAAACGGAGCUAAAACAGCGUCAUAUCCCAUGUGUUUCACUAGGGGAGACAACCCGCCCUCGGGAUCCGCCUGGCUGCAGCGGAUCGGAUCCGCCUCGGGAUCGCCCCCCUGAUCCCGUGUCAGGUGCAGGCCCGAGGCAGGCACAUGCGCCUGCACCUGACGCGGGAUCAGGGGGGCGAUCCCGAGGCGGAUUCGAUCCGCUGCAGCCGGGCGGAUCCCGAGGGCGAGUGGUCACCGCGCCCCCUCCAGAUCCACGUGCCGGUCCCACCGGGGCCACACCUGCUCAGGCGCGUGACGCCCCGCACCAAUCAGGGGGUACGAGGUACCCCCGCGAGCCCGUGACGUACACACGGCGCGAUGGCGCGCGACGGGCCAGGGAGGGCGCGACCGGUGCCCCGAUCCAAGUGGAUGCGCCAUCAUCACGCAAUGAUGGGCUGCAUGCACAUGCAGAUGCCGCACCGGGAUCUUCUGUGGUCAUUCCAGGCGCUCCACUUCAGCAAACAUCUGCAGAAAAUCCCCCAGAGUCGCCCUCGGGAUUAGAUGCCACACAGGAGCAGCCUGAUGGAUCCUCUGUGGCUGAUCCGGCUGUGUCUCAACGGCGGCGUACACGUCUGCAACAAGGGGUAAUUCAGCCUAUUAAUUACAAGCAUAUAACCAAGUAUGGCAUGGUUUGCUUCACAGGUGAACCAGGUGAGCCCAACACCCUUGAAGCAGCACUGUGUGAUGAGAAGUGGAAGAAAGCUAUGCAUGAAGAAUAUAUGGGAUUGAAAAGGAACAAAACAUGGCACUUGGUUCCCCCACAGCAAGGUAAAAACUUGAUUGAUUGCAAGUGGGUUUUCAGGAUUAAGAGGAAAGCUGAUGGAACCAUUGAUCGAUAUAAGGCUAGACUAGUUGCAAAGGGUUUUAAACAGAGAUAUGGCAUAGACUAUGAGGACACCUUCAGUCCAGUGGUAAAAGCAGCCACUAUUCGUCUUUUCCUGUCUAUUGCAGUCUCUAGAGGAUGGAGUCUUAGACACCUCGACGUUCAGAAUGUGUUUCUCCACGGCGUUCUGGAAGAGGAAGUGUAUAUGAAACAGCCUCCUGGGUUUGAGAGUAAGAAUGCUCCUUCUCAUGCGUGUAAACUUGAUAAAGCACUAUAUGGGUUGAAGCAAGCUCCAAGGGCGUGGUAUGCACGUCUGUCACAAAAUGCAAGCACUAGGUUUUGUUCCUUCCAAGUCCGACACGUCAUUAUUCAUCUACAACAAGUCCAACAUAUGCAUAUUUGUUCUUAUAUAUGUUGAUGAUAUUAUUGUGACUAGCUCGUCUGAUGAAGCAAUCACAUGACUUCUCAAGGAUUUGAGUGCAGACUUUGCUUUGAAGGAUCUUGGUGACUUGCACUACUUUCUUGGGAUUGAGAUGAAGAAACAGAAGGAUGGACUUCUCCUCUCUCAAGAAAAAUAUGCAACUGACCUGGUUACGAAAGCUGGAUUGCAUGGAUGUAAACCCUCACCUACUCCAUUAUCUAGCUCAGAAAAAUUAUCUCUUGCAGAAGGUGAGCCUUUGAGUAAAGAGGACAGCACUAAAUACAGAAGUCUGGUAGGAGCCCUUCAGUAUCUCACACUUACCAGGCCUGAUAUUUCUUUUGCCGUCAACAAGGUCUGCCAGUUUCUUCAUCCACCCACCAGUGUUCAUUUGACAGCUGCAAAACGUAUAGUUUGAUAUGUUAAGCAUACCUUGAGUCUGGGUCUGAACUUCAGCAAAUCUCCAUUCAUUCUUGUCAGUGCUUUUUCUGAUUCUGACUGGGCAGGUUGUCUGGAUGACAGACGUUCCACUGGUGGCUUUGCAGUAUUCUAUGGACCAAAUUUGAUAUCAUGGUGUGCACGUAAGCAGGCUAUUGUAUCCAGGUCAAGUACAGAGGCUGAGUACAAAGCAUUGGCAAAUGCCACAGCAGAGAUAAUAUGGGUUCAGUCCAUGCUAAAGGAACUUGGCAUCCAAAGCAAGCAGGCUCCUUGUCUGUGGUGUGGCAAUCUUGGUGCCACGUAUCUCUCUGCAAAUCCAGUGUUCCAUGUCAGGACAAAACAUAGAGAUAGAUUUUCAUUUUGUCAGAUAAAGGGUUGCUCAGAAGCAACUUGACAUUCGCUUUGUGCAUUCCAGAGAUCAACUUGCUGAUGGAUUUACAAAGCCUUUGCCUGCAAGAAGUUUCGAAGACUUCAAGCAUAAUCUCAACUUGAUGAAGUUGUGAUUAAGGGAGGAUGUUAAACUUCAGUUAUAAUCAAGUCUGUCGCAUGUAUCCAAUGCACUGUGUGUAUUCAACGGGCUGUACUCAGCGGACUUGUAGCGUAUCCUAGCAGGAGUCUUCGGUUAGAGGCUAAGAGAUAUUAUCUUUUGUAACCAUAAUUCUAUCUCUUUCUGGCUUGAUUCUCAAGUUGUAAUCCUAACUGUAUGCGUUAUCAGAACUCGCAUCUCUGCCUAUAAUAUACGCAGCGUCCCCUCGAUACAAGGCAAGACGUUUUCCGCUUCUUACAACAAUCUGUGACUAAAACCGGAGGCUGAAGUCGGAGUGGUGUGGACUGUUAUACGAACUGCGGCCUAGCAAAUACGAGUAUGUCCGAACUCUGAACUCCAUGGAGUUUCAUGGCAUCAACCACUGAUUCAAGAGCAAAGUAAUGAAGAUCAAUCGCGAGUGAUCACACACAAACCCAUGGAUGGAACCAUAUAUGGAGACGGGAGACCAUUUCUUCACGGAGGCACCGUGAAGGCUGCUGCCGGGUGCCGCUUUCGCUUGUGGUGAAUGCAGAGCCACACAUAGGAAGCCGAUCAUCAACGGCUUUGCCGAGUUUUCAAACAGACGCCAAAGAACUAUCUUCUUUUUUUUGCGUGGGGAUAAUGAACUAUUGAAGUUUUUUUUUUUUAGAAAAGUGAACUAUCAAAGUAUUGUAUUGGCAGUUUGGCAUGCCAUCAUUAAUUUGCAAACAACUAGUGGUGGCUCCAGGAAUUUGCAACCGGGUAUCCAUGUGUAUUUAUUUUGCCAAAAUCAUUGUUGUUUUUCGCAAAUUGUCACUGUUUUGCCAAAAUCAACACUGUUUUGUAAAAAUUAUGGGUAUUCACGUGAAGACCCAAGAAUACCCCGAGCGCUGCCCCUGCAAACAACGUCUCGUUUCGCUUCCUCCAUCACCUGAACGGCUCACGACCCUCCUCUGCUGUCUCCUCACUUAUCAGCAGCAAAUCGAUCGUCGAGAGCCUCCUCACCGAACAAAGCUCGAUCAAGGAAGGCCUGGAUGCAUGAAAGCAGGCCGGGCUCGGUUGAUCGUGAGGUGAGGACCGUCGACGUCGCUGAGCUGAAACUGCAGGCAUGUGCAGUCCUCACAUAUACUGUUUGAAGGGACGUACUCUUCUAGGAGUACUGCUGAAGAACACCUAGCUACUGGAAUGCUACGUACCCUUGCGGGUGGGAGGGCGAUGCUAUUGCUAGGUGCGUCGGGCUGCAGCGGGCGAUGAACAUGUUAAAUCAUGUCACCAUGCUAAAUCCUCUCACACUAUUACUCUUUGAUUCUUAUGCACUUCGUUUGCAUUUUUUGUUCAUCAGUUUUUUGAAUUAAACACAGGGCACUUGGAUGGUUAAAGUCAUCAUGUUAUGUCACGGCACUUGGAAUCUUCGGUCGACCAGGGCUAACUGAUUAGUGAUGACUGAUGAGAUGACCACACAUUUUGCUUGCUUGAUGGCAGGCGCUACCACUUCAGGUACGCUCUGUUCAUUGCUUUGUUUAUCAUCACCCUCACCACAAUGCCAGUGCACAGUUCCUGAUUCAUUUUGCGUACCUUAUCCUACAUUCAUGUAUCGUAUAUGGUGGAUGUGUUUUUCUAGCUUCAGACCAAAUUCUAUCGUAGUGAAAGAUCAUACAUAUUUUAAAAUUUCUGAAGCAUGAAACAUGCAUCUAACCUAAGUAGGAUGAAUUUGCUGACCGCCGAAUCAUUGUGAUGGUGUAAGGUGUGGUGACAAUCGGGCCAUGUCCAAGAAAAGGUGAGGACGGUACAGCAAUCAGUCGGUGACGAUGUCCGACGAGAAUUUUAGGCUGAAGUGCAACAUCAGCCUGGGCAGGGUCGCUGGCAAUCACCUGUGUCACAUCCUACUGAGGACCAGACUUGGAAAUCGAAGAAAUCACAAAUCUAGUACGGAGAUAAGCUCCUGAUGUGGAGACCCUUUGAGUAAUUGGGGAAUUUGCUACAGUAGCUAAGGAUAUAUCUAGGGGUUUGAUAGUUCAGUACAUUCGAUAUAUACCCACUCACUCGCACGCAGGCACUUAUACGAGUUACAACAGCGGUAAAUAACUAAUGAAAGUAAACAAUGAUUAAGCACGGCAAAAGUAACAGUAGUUUAGUUAAAAAUAAAAGUCUUCGGCUCCGAUCUGCCGUUCAUCUCGUCAUCGUCAACCUCCACCGUAGGAUCUUCUUAACUGUAGCGGAACUGGUACGCGUCAGUUAACUGAAUAACAUGACACUUGCAGAACAGGAUUCAGCUGAAAAUGCCCCCCCCUGAAGAACAUACUUGACUUCAAGUAUAACGCUGUGGGAACCAUGCUUUGAUGGUGCUUGCAAAGAAGUUGGGGAACACCCGUUUCAUGAAGUUUGCAUCUUCCCAAGUGGCUUCUUCUGGUUUGAGGUUCUCCCACUCCACUAGCCACUGAGUAACUAGAACUUCAUUAUUACUUCAGAGAGAUCUUAUUUCCAGAAUUGCUAGAGGCUCAGUCAUGAUUCUGCCAUCUUCACUCACCAAAGGUAGAUCUGAUCAUGGUACUGCGUGUGUGCCUAAGUGCUUCUACAGCUGACUGACAUGGAGCACACAACACAGUGUGAAUGACCACAUUCAGAGGCAUCAAAAUUUAUAAGCCCAACUGCCAAUUCUCUCUUAAAUUUUGCAGGGCCCAUAAAACUUGGUGGUGAGCUUGAUGGCUUGUCUGAUCCCAAAAGAUGUCGUUCUGUAUGGUUUCAAUCUAAGAUUAGACCAUAUCUAUUCUGAAGCUAAAAGUUGGCACUGGCUAAACAAAACAGAAGUAAUAGAAAAAGAAACAGAAAUCUUUCUGAACAAAAACAGAACGACAUUUUCGAAUGUUAGUUAUGCAGAGAAAUGAAAAGUUUGAAGGCACCAACGAAAAUUCCCAUGUGUCAUUUGUAUGUAGCCUACCCAGCUUAGCGCACUACACUCUUAGUCCAAACUAGCUCAAGCUACACAAAACCACACUCCGUAACCCUAUCCACUGAAACCUAAUCCAUGGUACUGUCUUGAUCCUCGGCCCUCCGAACUAGUACAAUCCUUCCACUCCUAUCCUCCAGGCAUGCUCACUGGCGACCUUCUGUUGGUUAGGUUACAUUUUUCUAUAUGCUCUAGAGGUUUUUGAGUUCUAGCAAACUUCCAUUUUUGUAUUUCAUGUUAGCAACAUAUAAUAUACUUUAUAUUCGUUUUUGGCUAUAUCCACUCCCAUAUUUGCUUCAUGAAUUUCCAGUGGUAUCAGUUUCCACUAAAAAAAGACGGAAACAACUCAGUUUCGUUCAUUUUCGUUUGGCUUCCAACCCCUACGUACUUGAGUUGACUAUAUGCCCUUACAUUUUCACUGCUAUAUUAUCAAAUGAAAGAUUCCCCUGCCACCCACGACAGACACACAAGCUUGUGCUUCGUAGGCGUCACCCGAUCAGACUUUUCCCGUUACCAUUUUGAGCGACAGUCGAUCCCGAGUGACCCGUUUUUGCACGAUGGAGGAGCGACCCGUGAUCGUGACUGUGUAGAGCAAAGAUGCAAACUCAGUGACCCCUUUUUGCAACAUUGAAAUACGCGUACAGCACUGAUGAUCACAGAAGGAAUUAUGUGCACCGAGUAGAACCAGGCUAUACAUAUUACAGUAUUCCAGAGUGAAUUUAUUCCACGGUGCUAACAGAUAAAGCGGGGGGUUAUAUAUUGAUCGAUACGGGACACACAAACUUGCAAGAACACAGAGGGCCGGAUGCAUGUGUUCUACUACAAGGUCACUGUGCAACGCGCACGUAUACGUACGUACGCGCAUAUAUGCACCUUCCUUUUGCUCACCAUGCAGGGACCAUGUUUAUUUACGAGCAAUUUAAUUGCUAUAUAUGCACGUAGGCGUGCAGAGCAACGGCAUGCACGUAGAGUUCGACGCAGGGUAGGCACUGGGCAGCAGUACUGCCUACCGUACGCACGUGUGCAUGGCUGCAUUUCGUCUCGAUCGUGUGCUCAGUUGUGGACCUCCGCCGGCGCCCGGUACAUGGGCUCCGGAACCUCGUCCGCGCGCGCACAGCAGCGGCAGCCAUGGUGAUGGAACAGCCCGUGGCCGCAGCAGCCCCAGUGACAUCCGCCGCCGCCGUAGCNNNNNNNNNNNNNNNNNNNNNNNNNNNNNNNNNNNNNNNNNNNNNNNNNNNNNNNNNNNNNNNNNNNNNNNNNNNNNNNNNNNNNNNNNNNNNNNNNNNNNNNNNNNNNNNNNNNNNNNNNNNNNNNNNNNNNNNNNNNNNNNNNNNNNNNNNNNNNNNNNNNNNNNNNNNNNNNNNNNNNNNNNNNNNNNNNNNNNNNNNNNNNNNNNNNNNNNNNNNNNNNNNNNNNNNNNNNNNNNNNNNNNNNNNNNNNNNNNNNNNNNNNNNNNNNNNNNNNNNNNNNNNNNNNNNNNNNNNNNNNNNNNNNNNNNNNNNNNNNNNNNNNNNNNNNNNNNNNNNNNNNNNNNNNNNNNNNNNNNNNNNNNNNUCCACCGUGUCCAGGGUAGCCGCCACCGCCGCCGUAGCCUCCUCCGCCGCCUGGGUAGCCGCCGCCGCCGCCGUAACCUCCACCGCCUUCCCCACCGUGGCCAGGGUAGCCGCCACCGCCGCCGUAGCCUCCGCCGCCGCCUGGGUAGCCGCCGCCUCCUCCUCCGCCGUAACCUCCUCCGCCUCCGCCAUAGCCUCCCCCGCCGCCUCCGUGCCCGUGGUGGCCUCCGCCAAAGUGGAAGAAGUUCUCUACGCCCGCUCCAUUCUCUUCCUUCUUGGCCUCUGCACGAACAGAAAAAGAAGGUGCAUGGAAAUUAGCAGCAGAACGCAGCAAAGCAAGUUUUUUCCUAGCCUAAUGACGAGAGCAAUUAAUUUAACUCCUGCCAGUUCAAAACUAGUCCGAGGAGUUAGUGCAUUAGCUCACCAGUGUGUUCAUCAGUCGAGGCGACGAGGAUAGCAGCAGCUGCAAGCAGGAGAGCGAACACAAGAAGACCCUUGCUGGAUGCCAUGCCUGGCAUCCGUGAUCCGUGCCUCACUGCCUCUUCUUCAGUGGUCGUAGUGGCUACUGGCUGGCCAGUGUGAUGGAUGAGAAUGAGAUAGAGAUUAGCAUGCAGAGCAGGCGAAUUUAUAGGAGGGAGAGGCCCAUGGAGGGCUUGGAUACGAUACGAUAGCUCGGGAUCACGAGGAGCUGUGAGCCUGUGACUGUGGGCGAGCUGAGGUUGGGUCCCCAUGGCCAUGGCGUCGUCAUCGGCCCGUGGAGAGGUGGUGGGUGGGAGAAGGACGGCACGCAUUAAUGAUCGAUCCCAGCAAUGUAGCAUGGAAGUAGCUAAGCUCCAAUGGCGUCGUCCGCGGGAGCACCAAUGGCGCCAGCCUCCCCUCUGACGCCGAGCAUAUUCUGGAUCGGAUGUCUUCUUCUGCAUGUGCAGUGCGCACUGCGGAUGCAGGGUGGGUGCUGCUCGCGCGACGCCAAGAUAAAGUUUGCAUCCACACGCACCAAUCUCAUUAAUCAGUCCUGGUAGAAGUUACACACGGGCGCAUGUGUAUCCAAAUCGGCCGAGCGGAUUCUGGAUCGGAUAGCGUGUUCUUCAUCUGGAAAACCGGACGUGGAGCAUUGCUGAACGUUCCCACGUAAGCUAUCUUCGCUUAGAGCAUCUCCAACAAAACUCCCAGUAAAAAUGGUUUUACGAGAUGCCCAUAACUUAGGGAAAUGAGGUGAUUUCUCAAUACAUAUUCCCCCUAAAUUAAAGUGAUAUUUUUGCAACAGUGGCGCCGGACAACGGGCGCCGGUGGUGGUCGGCGGCAGCGGCGGCUCAAUGGGUAUGGAGAUGACGCGCUGACAUGACACUUUUAUGGGAAGGGCCUCUUCCCCUAAAUGUACAAGAAAUUGGACAGAUUAUACGAAAUCCCGUAAAAACAUGUUUACGGAAUCUGUUGGAGCACUUUUUUUAUGGGAAAUGCUUUUGGUCUAUUCAUAAUCAAUCAUGGCAGCAUAGAGAAUACCCGAGGUAAUAAAAAAAUACAAACAUGCUCAUGUACCACCUAGCAAUGACUACCAGAGCGAGCUGAAGGCCGAAACUGAAGCAAUGCCCAAAAAUGGCCCAAAUUGACAGCAAAGUGAGCCCCGUUCGGAACGAAGACCUCAGCAGGCACGGAAACGUUGCUUGCCAUUGCCUCAAGAAUCUCUGGGGCUCUCUUUAGCUCUUGACCUCAAUUUUCAAAAGGUGCUGAUAUCAACGGACUGCCUGGCUACUGUCAAACACAUUAAGGAGCACUACCUGGGCGCUAGUAUGGUGGUGGUGGAGGAGAUCAAGUCCAAGCUCUUGAUGUUCAAUUCUUCAGACUUAAUUCAUGAAACUCAUGGCUGUAAUAAGGAAGCUCAUUCUCUUGCUAAAGCUGCAACUUCCUUCGCCCCGGGACGCCAUCUUUGGCUAACGGAAAGACCUGACAUAGUUUGUAUCCCUUUAUCUGUUGAGAUUUAAUAGAGCUGCUUUAGCCCUAAAAAAAAGCAGGCAUGGAAACAGGACAGGAAGUACUACUGGCGUAACAGUCUACACACAUGUUUAGUUCAGCAAAGGUUUCAGUAAAAAAGACAGAAGGUGAAGUCAGUUAGGUGUCUCCAGAUGGUACACCAGGGAGAGGAGGCUGUGGUGCAAUAUCAACCAAAUCAAUAUCACUAGAUCAAUCAUGGAGUAUAUUUUCAUAUUAGGUUGAUAUGAAUUUGCAGAUGUAAACAUUUUUCGCGCGCAGAGAAGUAUCAGUCUCUUACAAGAACCAGUGCGAAAAGAAAUCGCCCAUCCAUCGUUUCUGGCCACUGAGAGCAAAGUUUCGUUACAUCCAGUCGUAGAUCAAACAGCAAUGCUCUUUUUUUUAGAAGGGCAAAAGACAAUGCUCUUAAUUGCCAACAACAUAACUUGCUUGCCUUUCAUCAUAACUAAGAUGGCCAAUGCAGCCCUGGAUACAAAUUGCAGAUGUCAAACAUCCUCGUGUAUGGUUAACACUGAAAUCAACUGCACUGUGAUCUUUCUUCCUCAAGCAGAACGAUGAUCUCAUAUUGAAAAAUAUCAACCACUGGAGAGAUGCCAAGCCUUGACCAGUUUAACCCCUCACAAGCACAAGGCCCAAUUCAUUCACUAAGAAUUUGCUUUGGGACAUGCCAGGGAAUGUGAAAGUUGGUGCUCAAGGUUAGCGAAUCAAGCAGAGAGAAACCAGCCAUUAGCCCAGCACUACCUGGCCACGCAGGCAUCCACUUAACUGAUGGAGUAAUCUGGUGAGAAACAUCUCGUCUUUUGGUACAUCCUCCUGUAUAUGGUCGCUCCUUCCAGCUCAGCAUGGAUUUCCCUCUCUGUCCGUAUUCCCAUAGGGUUGUCCAGAAGCCAACCUUCGUCGUCACACUGAAGAUCUUUAUCAAUACGAUCAGCAUGCUCAAACACAUCCGCGUAUCCAUCAAACCUUUCUCUCAUGUCUGUAGCUACAUCAAGCACAUCUGAUUGUACAAGCACCUAUAUCAAUGAAAUAAAGUGAGAUGUCAACUUGCCAAAGAGUACUUGACCUGCCUUUGAAUGUUAAACUCCCUACAUAAUCAACACUAGCCUUUGUCGAAGAUAAAGAAAAGGGAAUGUCUGAAUAGUAAUUUUGCACUGGAGCAUAUUAACUUGUAUCACUCUAUGACCUAUAUAAUGCAUAGAGGCUGGGAAAUUAUUAUCAGAGAAGCAAUAAUAACUAAGAAUAUAUGUGGUCCAACUGACAACAUGAAGGCAAGAAUAAGCUUUAAACAUACAAAUCGAGUGGAUAAUACAUGGCAUCUCAUAGAGAUGUUGAAAUUAAGCCAGAUAUAUAUGGUUAAUAUAUCCUCAAUUGAUGUACUUUAGGAUCCCUCAAGAACAUUAUUCUGUAAUUAGGACUAUUUUUAAAUGAUAGAUGUUUCACGCCUGCAACAUGCUUUACCACUUUUUUCUAGGACACUUUUUCAGGGUUCAGUCAAUAAAACAUCCAUCAUACCAUCAUACAGCUAGAACUAACAAAACAGUGACUGGCCAAAGCUAAACAGUCAUUGGACAAAUCUGAUGCAUACAGAAGGACCCUGACCCCAUGCAGAUUGUUAGUUUAACAGAGAAUAGUUUGCAUGAAAAUGGUAGAGAAUUGUCAUACCCGCCCACCCAGACAAAGGUUCUUUGUGAUCGAAUCCACCAAUGGUGUCUGUAGAACUCUUCUCUUGUGAUGCCUUUUCUUAAAGUGAGGAUCAGGACACUGCAGAAAAGAUGAUUGCACCUCAGCUGUCAAUUCCAUAACAUCAACUAAAACAAAAAACUAAGCCAGCAUAAGCACAAGGACAUAUCGUAUACAACUUAGAACAUUUGUGGAACUGUGCUCAGCUACACUCACCAGUAUUGAAACAAGCGAUAGGGGACCAGGGUAUGAUAACACAAUUUGCUCGAAAGACACCGUUGCAUUUGCAAACAUAAAGUAACUGUGCCAAGGGAGCAAUUUCAAACACUAUUAAAUUGUUCUGAUAGCACGAAGCCCUCAAAUGUCCAUAUGUGAGAAAGAUCUGAGGUGUAGCUUACACAUUUCUAAGCCCCAAUUCUGUUACCCAGAACUGUGUCCGCUCGACCAACUAGACAAGCAAAACAAGCAGAGCAUUAUGACCACACCAAAAAUCACACAUUGAGAACCAUGAUUAAACAAACCAUAGAAGCACAAGAACCUUCUGCCGGAUUUCCAGUCCGAGGUAAUUCCGCCUUUCACCGGAGUUCUUUGCUAACCAAACCAAGAAUCUCCCACUCCCUGCACAUGAAAAAAAAAUCCCCUAAUAACUGAGGCUCAAGGAAAUCUAUCAGCACAAUGGGGAUGCAAUGGAAGGAGACGUAUGCCCACCGCAGCCGAUGUCGACCAUGAGGGGCAGCAGGGGGUCCUCGAACACCUCCGUCCAUUCAGGCGGCUCCGUGGGUUCCUGCAGGCAGAACAGAGUAAGAAUCGACGGAAGGGGAGGAGGCCGCGCCGGCGUUCGCCGUCGGGAUCUUGAAGAUUGUGGUACAGGCUUACGACGAACAAGGCGCUGAGCGGAUUCACGUGCUGCCGGAUGCGAAGGUGAUGGCCCCGCUGCAUACACCAAAACAGAUUGGUGGGCGGUCAGGCUGGUACGCUAUUUCGAAAAAGAGACGGAGGUUGAAGACGGGGAGGAUAGAUGGGGUUGGGGCGGACAUUGGGGUAGAGGGGGCGGAGAUUGAGGUCCGCGUACUCCCUGUCCACCGCGUCGGUGCUCCGCGCGGCGGAGCACAAGGUCCGGCGCCGAGCGCGGCGACGGACGGGGGGCGCGCGGACGAGGCGGCAGCACAGGGAGGCCGCGGCCGUCCAAGCCAUUCUGGCGGCGCUUCCGGCUGGAGCUCCAGCCGCGGCGCUGCCUGCUCGACACCAAAUGGGUUAUCUUUUUCUUUUAGUCGGCGAAGGGGUUAUCAAGGGGUGGAAAUGUUCGAGGAAAUUCUUUUUAGGAAAACAGAGAGCUUUUUUUUAUCGCGUAUAAGAGCUAUUCUGCUAUUGUUACUACUCACACUAGAAGGACUUUUUUUUUGUCAAAUACUACCUCCGAACCAAAAUAUUUAAAUCUAGCGAAACGUCUUAUAUUUUAAUACGAAUGGUGUACAUGAAAAAUACUAGUCGGUGCACCUGCCAAAAGGAAAGAAUCUUCAAGUUUUCUGGCAUGAGCUCCCAAAGCGUGUGCCUUCCAUUGCUCUUUUUUUUCAAACAAAAGUGCUUAGUUUAGCCUUUUGUUUCCUCUGUGCUGCAUCUUCUUUAAAAAUUCAUCCAAUGAAAUCCCAACUCCCUUUGUUUUGGAUAUCCUUUUCUAAACUAUACUAUGAAUCUAAUCUUUUGAAAAAAAACUCUUCACUUGAAUUUUAGAACUUAGAAUUUAUUACCCUAGAAAAAAAACCUAAUCCUUUGAAUCUUUGGUAUGCUAUCAUUCUUCCUCACAACGCAACUCUUGAAGCUGCUAAUAACAAUUCUGUUAUUCCAGUUUCCCCUCUCGCUAGGAUCCCUAUCCUCUCGGCGCCCUUCAUCGACGCCGCGUUGAGUCUCCCUCCUCCAAUCCCACGGUUGUCCCUUCACUCGGGGUGAACAAGGGGCACUCUUGUAGUGCUGCCGAGCCUUCGUUUAGGGCUCGUGUGGGUUAGGGUUUCCCCGUGUUUUGUUAUGAGGAUAGGGAUCAUGGCGACAUAGCCAUUGAAUUCGGUACGAAAGAUCAGGACGAUUUGUAAGCGAUGAUACAGGUGCUUGGCUUGGCUGAUGAGGACCUUGAUGAUGUCGUUUUCGAGUCGAAAGAACCAUCACCGACAGAAGCAACUCAUGGGCUAGCUAUUGCAUGAGUAAACACAGAUGAAGAGUAUUGUAAAUUAUGAUUAUAUAAAAACAUGAGAUUGGCAUGGGAUCUCACUCCAACUCAGGUCAGUGGAUGAAAAUCUAUACAAAAUGCAACCGGUUUGUCUAAUUCACAUCUAGAUAUUUUUUAAGGAUGCCACAUCUAAGCUCCCACAAAUAUAUAAUGCAGCAACAAGAAAAAAAACUAGGACAAAAAAAAAAUAGAUCACAAACAGAGUGGACAUCAGCUUAGAUGUGUCCUGAACAGACCCAAAUGCAAUUGUCUUGCCUAGGGAAAUGAGAGAAAGUCGUGAAAAAGGACUUUGGACCAAUAGGAGAUUUGAUGCCAUUCUUGUGACAUACCGAAAAAGGCUUUCGCCCCACUUUAUAUAUAAAGCAAACCACCACAGCCACAAAGUUCAACAUAAGUUCACACACACAGGGUAGCACCACAAGGGGAGAAGCUAAUCCGGCUCAGGUGGUGGAGGAGGGAGCGGCGGCGCCAAGCAAAGAGCCAUCACGCGAAGGUCGGCAAUGAUGAUGUUGAUGGCAUCCCGGUCUUGGUGGCGGCUAAGCACCCGCCAAAGCUACAAAUAGCCACACAUUUUGAACACCGCGUCAAUAGCAUGUCGACGAGGCACACGCUAGAUCACAAGCUUAUUUCGAACCGUUCAAAGCGUCCACGCUAGGACCCCAAUAGCCAGCCACCUAAUGUGGCGGCCCGUUGGAGGCAAGGGCUAGAUCUCGGCGAAGAGGUCUGGAAAGUUGGUGUUACACCAACGACCACCAACCACCUUUACAAAAUCCAUCACAAUUGCCUUGAACCAUAUAAAUAUUUGGGUGCAGAUACAUGAUCUACCGGAUGGGUUUGCAUCAAUGCUUAAGUCCCUGAUAGUAAAGUGGAAGAGGUUCUAUAUGCGGAACCAUGAUCUUACGACUUUUGAGUGGAGCCAAUAAUGGAAUAUUGUUUCUAAGGUUAUACUCUUGUUACGCGUCUGUCUGCGAUUGGGAUACAUAUGUAUGACAAGUAGGGGCAAGGAGCGACCCAAUCGACACUUGGAGCGAGCCAAGUGCGACAUCGCAAAAGGUGAAAUCGGUGAGGUGUCUCCGUGUGUGGCACCACAAGAAGGAGAGGUGGCUGGUGCAAGGGCAGCCAGUCGAGAGAGGACAUGGAAAAGCUAGCAGUUCCUCGAGAACACGUAGAAUCUCAUCUUGAACCCCUCUCUUUUGUAUACUUUGACGACUUGUUGUCUCCUUCUUUGAUCGAUUAUAUGCUUGGGUAAAUACUACUCCCUUUGAACUAAAAUCACGACACUUAUUUUGGAUCGCAGGAAGUAAUAACUGUCUAAACCAUUUGCUACUCAUGUGCAUGGACUGACUGUUAAUACCAGCAGCUUACAAAUUUUACAACAGUAUAAUUAAUGGAUCUUUCUGCCAUUGCAAUAGAAAAGCUGGAAAAUACAUUAGCAUGUGCAACUAGUGCAAUAUCAUGUGAAACUGCAAAAUUUCAUUGGAAUACAUACUUUUUUGCUAGAUGUGCAAAAACAACUAAUUCAGACCAGUGUAGACUGGAGUUGUCCUAUAUCAACCCUUUUCUUUCUUUUUCAAUGCAAAGGCUUGAAAGAAAACCAUUUCUCUUCUAAACAAACUUAAACAGUACAAUAGUUAUUACCCCUAUCAGUUGCAAACAUUUUAGAAUUUUUUUGAGAGCUCAAUAAACAUUUUGAUUAUUUUUUGUUCAACAUAGGGUGCAUAAAGAAAAAGAAUCCUCCUACACCGGGUUAUUCGAAUAUUGCCUGAUCCUAGGAGCCGUAAAAAUAACUCUUGCUCUGCAAAUACUAGGAGAAGCAAAUGUAAUACUCCCUCCUUCGGAAUUACUUGUCGAGAAAAUGGAUAGAAAUAUAUGUAGAUACAUCCAUUUCCGCGACAAGCAAUUCCGGACGGAGGGAAUAUUUGAAAAGGGUGCAUGUUCAACAUAUAUGUGGCUUAACAUAAAUAUUGCUGAAGCGUGCAACGUGGUAAGCUCCAUCGAGGCAUGCAAUCGCUGGCACUAGAUAAUGCUAUGCUGGAGAAAAGAAGAAGCACAAACAUUAUUAGGUCCAUCUUAAUUUUGACCAGCAAGAGAAGCCUCGUGCCACUGCUCUUCAAUGUAAGCCAUUGGCGUAAGUACUUAACAUGGCAUCACUUGGACAACAUUGGUUGAGAACUUGAGAUACUUAAAAAUUUAAUAUUCAGACCAGCCGACCAAAAGGAGUCAGUACCACAUUUGAAGGCAAUAGAAACCAUGCUAGGAAUUACAUCAGAGACUGCACCACUUCAAGUCUGUAGCUCCACUACAGUGGCAAAACAACAGGAGGUAGCAUAGAUUGAAGCCAUUAAGCAAGAUCCUGAAAGCAGAUAGGAGUUGGUCGGCGUGGGAGAGGACGAUCUUGUUAAUGAGCACCCUUAAUCCGCAGAUAAUCAUGUCAACACACUGCUUUGGCCCUGCAGGCAGAGGAGGUAAAACAUGACCAGUUUCAGUCAUUUACAGAUAUGAAGGCCCUGUUCGGAGUCACUCCAACUCCUAAAAAUACGAGGAGCUGGAGCAUCUCUUUCCCAGCUUCGUGCCUUUUGACUCCAGCUUCGAGAGCAGAGUGGUGGAGUGGUGGGUCUCCGAACAGGGCUGAAGUCUGUCCUUGUAAAUACAGAGAAAAAUGCACGAAAUAACCAGACUACUGGAGUGCAGGCUAAAAUGUUUACAAAGAAAAUCUGAGCAUAUUCAGCCAACUAUUGGAGUGCAGGCACACCCAGACUUCAGUGGACUAGAAAAACAGUAUAGCAUCUGAUAAGAAAAACAGUAUAGCAUCUGACAUGUAUAUCGUGUAGACCAAAGUUGAUGGUAUGGACGACUUGUAUAUAAAAUAAAUGGGUUUUAGUGCCCUUGGCCUGCAUUAAAAGGGAAACUGAACCUAAGAAAAAGAGUAGCAUAAAAAACGAAGAACACUGCUGAAGUAUGCGGACCAUCACAGUGCCGAUUUUUCAGCAAACAAAGAAGGCAGAACCAAGCUAAAACUAAGUCAACUUGAACAUAUAUUACCAUGUCAUUGACACAUUUCUACCAUUACUGCUUUACUUUAAGAUCAAAAUAAAGGUACAGGCCUAAAUGGUGAGUUUAGACUUAUAAACUGUACAACCAUAAAACAACAUUUUGCAACUAUUGAGUAUGCUAACCAUGCACCAUACCUGCUUACCAGAUCAGCAUUGCAUUCGAUAGAAGGAUAUGCCAUGAACAUGUUGUUUACUUUUGUGCACCAAUCGACACUUGGAGUGACACCAUCUGACAGCCUCACGGUCACCGUUUUAAGCAUUGGAGCACAUCUAAAUAUCACUUUCAAGAAAUCAAACUCGUGAUCUUCCCCGCCGACGCCUUCAAUUUCCAUGUUUUCAAGAUCAGCCAAGGUGAUAGUUUCUGUUCUCCAGUUCUUAGGCUCAUCACAGAGGCAAUUUACUGGGCAUGCAUCUUUCACCUAAACGAAUGUGAAUUACAGAAAGAAAUUAUGGAUGCUCCACUGUUGGGACAUUUGUUCAAGAAUGUACCUCGAACUUAUUGGCUGAACAUGUACUGCAUAUAAAUAUAUAUUCCAAAUGCAUAAGCACAACGUACGAUAAAUUACCUCUGAUCUUAGCAGGACAAUCUUAAGGUUCCGUAAAGCUGUACGAAUCUGAUGCAUCCCAAGGAGAUGCAGCACAAAAGCUCCAAACACAUGGCCCUUGGUGCUGAGAUGUAGGUCCAGACCAGAGAAGUUGGUAACCAUAUGUUUAUCGAUCUCUGCCUCAAAGCUGAGCUCUGCAUUUGGAAAGCUAACUGAAUCCUGCAACAACAAACAGUUCGACAAGACAUCCCGGAUAAGUUCAAUCUCGCCGGUAAUUGCAAUAAAUUGAACAAGCAGGAAUUUGCUUUAUAAUAUAAAGUGGGGGAAACCCUUUAUCGUAAUUGAACAAGCAGGAAAGGAGACAUAUAUACCUGGACGGCAGAUAUGUGUAGGGACAGGACAUGGACGCUAGGGAGCUGUACACAGGCGUCUCUCCCGGAGUCUGUCUCUUGGGUGUUGAAGCCCAUCUCUGAGAGGCCCCAAAGACCAAGCCCAUAGAUCGGCUUGGCAUACGAGCACCGCCACCAGACCUUGUCCAGCAUUGGGGCCAAGAUGGACACCCCGAUGUUGCCGCAGGCAUGGAAGGACGCUGUCAAUUGCUUAAGCACAGGGGAGUCGACGCUGAUGCUGAUAUGGGUGCGGCCGGUCCAUCUGUUGCCGUGCUCCACGACGAGCUCCUCCAGCGACGCGGAGUGGACCGUAAUGUUGCUCAUGUCUAUCAGACCGGUGGUGUUCAGCCGGAGCACGCGCAGGCGCGGGCAGAACGGGAUGAAGGUGGCCAGAUCGAUGUGGCAUCCCGAAAGGCAGAGUCUCUCCAGCGAGCGGAAGGGGACAUACCAGCCACUGGCCGCACAUGGCUUUGCGAACACGGCUAAGUGGAGGGCCCUCGCGCGCAGGUCCAUGGAGGUGGCGCGGUGGAAGCUGGGCAGUGUCGCCUCCAUGCAGGAGACUUGCAGGUUCCGCGGGAGAGUGAGGCGCAGCUCCACCGGCGAGAGGCUCGCAGCGUCCCGGAGAAACGAGGAGAAGGUCCCGGCGCCGAUCAUGCCGGCCUGGCCAGCGACGCGGAUGUUGAGGUGGUAGAUGUACACACCGGGACGAGCGGCGCGGUGGAGCGCGGCCUGGAUCGAGCCGAAUGGGAGGUCGCGGAGGCUGAGGGUGAGGCUGGGGAGCCGGGUCCAGAGGCCGCGCCACCGGCGGGAGAGGAGGCUGGUGCCCGCGGCGGCGCGGGCGGAGCCAAGACGCUCGAGGAUCUCCAGAAGCAGAUCCUCCGGGAGGACGCUGAUGAGGUCGGCCGGACGUUGGGAUCUUUUACUCGACCUCCCCAUGGAAAAACCCCGAUGCAACUCAAACGGCGGGUAGCAAAUAGCAAAGGCAAAUGCAAGGGAAGGGGAAGAGGAAGGAAGCGCAAGCGACUGGGCCGAUGCGCAGUGGAGAAAUAAUAAAAUAAAAAGAAAUUAAGAAAUGAGGAAAAAGUCUCUUAGGCAGAGAAUGAGCUGCUCGUGGUGGAUAAAUAAUAAAAGAAAAAGAUGUUGGAUUUUGUUUUCUGUUUUUUACCAGACCUUAGCGAAAUGGGCGAAAUUCGUCAUUUCGGAAAAUUUUAGGAGAACUCCGGACGAAAAGAGAAAACCAAAAUUUGAAAUUUGGAACGAAAAAUGGCCGAAAUUUGAACGAUAAUGACAGAAAUUUGUCAAUCCUAUUGAAAUCAGGUAGAACAAGACUAUUUCACAGAAAUUGUGGCCACGCUCGAUGUUGUUGGCGCCGCCGCCGGCUCAGUCGACGCCCAAGUGCAGCCUUGACCUCAUGUGGCCUCGAUCCACGACCGCCGACGACAGGUUCGCCUCAUGCAUGGGCACUGUCACGGCUGCGCUCUACAACCUCCAUGGGAAGGAGAAGGAGUGCUUGAGCCUUGAGCAGGUGGGUUGUUACUGUGUUGGAGGAGGAGGAGGCUGGGCAGAGGCGAAGGUUGUGUUGACUACAACCGCCGCAGAAGGGAACGGAGAGAGGAAACGUGAAACUAGGGUUGGGGUUGGUUCAACUUGAGUUUUUAUACCAAAAAGAGGUGCGUGGGCUACUUUGGGCCGGGCUCAAAGUUCUUCAAAGGUCGUAAUAUUUGACUAGGCUAUACUCAUACCGGGCCGUGGUGAAAAGGGCGAAUUCCGGACGAAAUUCGAAGAUUCCGGACGAAAUCCAAAACCAUGCUCUGGCCCGUUUUGGAGGAAGAAAUUAAGAAAGUUAUUCUUGAAUUCUAUAUUGAUAGAGCCCUAAUGGGAUCCCUUUCUUUUUCUAGCAACAUUUUCCGGAAGCUAAUCAAGCAUGUAUGACCUAUUUAGGAUGUUUGAAGACUUUCAUAAAGUGGAACUCGAUAUCUUUUAGACUAAAUUUUGCCACGUUAACUCUCUGAUCUACUAUAUAAAUAGGAUGCCUCACUACCUUAUUUCUCUUGACAUGCAAGCUAUCUACAUCAACAAUCAUCAUGCACCCAUCCAUCUCAACAAAUCUGCCAUGUCAACACAUUUUUUCCUUUCAUUUUUCUGUAUCCUUUCAACCAUUCCACAUCUUAUUUUAUAUCCCACUAUCUAAUUUUUCUAUGUUAUCUACGUUUAGCCACCGACAUGUCCAUGAAUUGUCACAUUUACUCUCUGCUCAUGACUUGUCUCCUAGCCAAAAUUGCAGCCAAUGAGUACACAUGAAACUGACGAAGACAUUCAUACUAUAUCUAAAUAGGAGUCCCCCACUAUCUUAUUUCUCUUGACAUACAAGCUAUCCACAUCAGCAAUCAUCAUGCAACCAUCGCCGUCAACAAAUCUGCCACGUCAUCAAGGUUUUUCCUUUUAUUUUUCUGUAUACUUUCAGCCAUUUCACAUCUUUUUUUAUAUCCCAGUACCUUAUUUUCCUACCUUCUCUACUUUUAGCCACUGGCCCGCCCAUGAACUGUCACAUUUACUCUCUGCUCAUCACUUGUCUCCUGGCCAGAAGUGCAGCCACCGAGUACACAUGAAACUGACGAAGGCAUUCAUAUUAUAUUUAUAUCUAAAUAGGAGUCCCCCACUAUCUUAUUUCUCUUCACAUGCAAGCUAUCCACAUUAGCAAUCAUCAUGCAACCAUCGACCUCAAAAAAUCUGCCACAUCAUCAAGUUUUUUCCUUUUAUUUUUCUGUAUCCUUUUAGUCAUUCCACAUCUUUUUAUAGCCCACAACCUUAUUUUCCUAUCUUCUCUACUUUUAGNNNNNNNNNNNNNNNNNNNNNNNNNNNNNNNNNNNNNNNNNNNNNNNNNNNNNNNNNNNNNNNNNNNNNNNNNNNNNNNNNNNNNNNNNNNNNNNNNNNNNNNNNNNNNNNNNNNNNNNNNNNNNNNNNNNNNNNNNNNNNNNNNNNNNNNNNNNNNNNNNNNNNNNNNNNNNNNNNNNNNNNNNNNNNNNNNNNNNNNNNNNNNNNNNNNNNNNNNNNNNNNNNNNNNNNNNNNNNNNNNNNNNNNNNNNNNNNNNNNNNNNNNNNNNNNNNNNNNNNNNNNNNNNNNNNNNNNNNNNNNNNNNNNNNNNNNNNNNNNNNNNNNNNNNNNNNNNNNNNNNNNNNNNNNNNNNNNNNNNNNNNNNNNNNNNNNNNNNNNNNNNNNNNNNNNNNNNNNNNNNNNNNNNNNNNNNNNNNNNNNNNNNNNNNNNNNNNNNNNNNNNNNNNNNNNNNNNNNNNNNNNNNNNNNNNNNNNNNNNNNNNNNNNNNNNNNNNNNNNNNNNNNNNNNNNNNNNNNNNNNNNNACAAGGAGGCCGCGGGCGUCCAAGCCAUUCUGGCAUCGAUUCCGGCUGGUGCUUUAGCGGCGGCGCUGCCUGUUCCACACCCACUCGAAGGGGUUAUAUUUUUUCUUUUUAGUUGGCGAAGGGGUUAUCAAGGGGUGGAAAUGUUAGAGGAAAACCUUUUUUAGGGAAAACAAUGUUUUCUUUGGGGUAAGAGCUAUUAUACAUCAAGAAUACUAGUCAGCACACUUGUCAAAAGGAAAAUAUCUCCCGCUCCAUUGCUCUCUCUACCAGUUUUCCAAACAACACAACUCUUGAAGCUUGCUAAGAGCAUCUCCAGCCGUUCGGCCCCCCAGACGCCGAAAAAGCGCCGUCUGGGACCGAACCGGCGUUUAAUUUCAGCAUGGGGGUGAUUGUGUUCUCCCAGUCGCCGCCCCCAGGUCACACCCAAAUUGGCGCAAACACGGCACAAACUCGGCAAUUUGAUUCAAAUUUGUACAAACACUGCACAAACUCGGCGAUUUCAUUCAAAUUUGUACAGAAAACAGAAAACUAGCCCUACUAUGCCGCUGCCGUCGUCCGCCUUCUAUAUGCCGAGGAGCCUGUAGAACCGGGUGUGGUCGCCGCCGCCCUGCAUCCCGCCGGAGCCGCCGCCGUCCCUGCUGCACCCCUGACAAGGGUCGCCGACGCGCGGGGGUUGGACGGCCCGGACGCGUUCUGCUCGUCGUCGCUAUCGAGGACGACGAUGAUACGUCUCCAACGUAUCUAUAAUUUUUUAUUGCUCCAUGCUAUAUUAUCUACUGUUUUAAAUGUUUAUGGGCUUUAUUAUCCACUUUUAUAUUAUUUUUGGGACUAACCUAUUAACCAGAGGCCCAGCCCAGAUUUACUGUUUUAUGCCUAUUUCAGUGUUUCGAAGAAAAGGAAUAUCAAACGGAGUCGAAACGGAACGAAAUCAACUGGAGAAUUUAUUUUUGGAAGGAAAGCCACCAGAUAGACUUGGACUCUACGUCAGAAGAUAUGGGAGCUGGCCACGAGGGUGGGGGUGCGCCCCCUGCCUCGUGGGGCCCCCGAAGCUCCACUGACGUACCCCUUGCACCCAUAUAUACCUACGUAUUGUAAAACUUCCAGAACAAAGAUUAGAUCGGGAGUUCCGCCGCCAGAAGCCUCCGUAGCCACCAAAAACCAAUCUAGACCUGUUCCGGCACCCUGCCGGAGGGGGGAUCCCUCACCGGUGGCCAUCUUCAUCCGCUCUCCAUGACAAGGAGGGAGUAGUUCUCUCUCGGGGAUGAGGGUAUGUACCAGUAGCUAUGUGUUUGAUCUCUCUCUCUCUCUCUCGGUGUUGUUGAUUUGGCACGAUCUUGAUGUAUCGCGAGCUUUGCUAUUAUAGUUGGAUCUUAUGUUUCUCCUCCCCCUCUUCUCUUUUGUAAUGAAUUGAGUUUCCCCUUUGAAGUAAUCUUAUCGGAUUGAGUCUUUAAAGAUUUGAGAACACUUGAUGUAUGUCUUGCCGUGCGUAUCUGUGGUGACAAUGGGAUGCCACGUGAUUCACUUGAUGUAUGUUUUGGUGAUCAACUUGCGGGUUCUGCCCAUGAACCUAUGCAUAGGGGUUGGCACACAUUUUCGUCGUGAUUCUCCGGAGGAAACUUUGGGGCACUCUUUGAGGUCCUAUGUGUUGGUUGAAUAGAUGAAUUUGAGAUUGUGUGAUGCAUAUCGUAUAAUCAUACCCACGGAUACUUGAGGUGACAUUGGAGUAUCUAGGUGACAUUAGGGUUUUGGUUGAUUUGUGUCUUAAGGUGUUAUUCUAGUACGAACUCUAGGGCUGUUUGUGACACUUAUAGGAAUAGCCCAACAGAUUGAUUGGAAAGAAUAACUUUGAGGUGGUUUCGUACCCUACCAUAAUCUCUUCGUUCGUUCUCCGCUAUUAGUGACUUUGGAGCGACUCUUUGUUGCAUGUUGAGGUAUAGUUAUGUGAUCCAAUUAUGUUAGUAUUGUUGAGGGAACUUACACUAGCGAAAGUAUGAACCCUAGGCCUUGUUUCCUAUCAUUGCAAUACCGUUUACGCUCACUUUUAUCAUUAGUUACCUUGCUGUUUUUAUAAUUUCAGAUUACAAAUACCUUUAUCUACUAUCCAUAUACCACUUGUAUCACCAUCUCUUCACCGAACUAGUGCACCUAUACAAUCUACCAUUGUAUUGGGUGUGUUGGGGACACAAGAGACUCUUUGUUAUUUGGUUGCAGGGUUGUUUGAGAGAGACCAUCUUCAUCCUACGCCUCCUACGGAUUGAUAAACCUUAGGUUAUCCACUUGAGGGAAAUUUGCUACUGUCCUACAAACCUCUGCACUUGGAGGCCCAACAACGUCUACAAGAAGAAGGUUGUGUAGUAGAUAUCAAGCUCUUUUCUGGUACCGUUGCUGGGGAGGCAAGGAAAGUGGCACUAACACACCCCGUAAGCUCUUUUCUAGCGCCGUUGCCGGGGAGGCAAGGAAAGUGGCACUAACACACCCCGUCAACUAAGCUCUUUUCUGGCGCCGUUGCCGGGGAGGUGAGUGCUUGAAGGUAUAUCUUUAGAUCUUGCAAUCGAGUCUUUUAGUUUCUUGUUUUAUCACUAGUUUAGUUUAUAAAAGAAAACUAUAAAAAAUGGAAUUGAGUUUGUCUCAUACGCUUCAUCUUUUUAAUAUCUUUCGUGAGUAUGAUGGAAAGGAUAAUUGUGCUCAAGUGCUAGAAGAAGAAAUCUAUAAAAUGUUUGGCACUAAAUAUUUGGAUGAUGAGCAUGAUUGCAAUGUUGUUAGUAUGAAUUUCUUGAAUAUCCAUGAUGCUAAUGAUAUGCAAAGCCACAAGCUUGGUGAAGCUAUGUUUGAUGAAGAUGAUAUCUUUUGUUCCCUAAGCUUUGAUGUGCAAAUUUAUUAUGAUGAAAGCAUGCCUUCUAUCUAUGAUGAUUACUGUGAUGACACGUAUGCUUUCAAGAACAAUGAUAACCAUGAAACUUGUCAUCUUGAUCUUAAUUUUCAGUCACAUGACAGUUAUUUUGUUGAGUUUGCUCCCACUAUUAUUCAUGAGAAGAAUUUUGCUUAUGUGGAGAGUAGUAAAUUUUCUAUGCUUGUAGAUCAUGAAAAGAAUGCUUUAUGUGAUGGUUAUAUUGUUGAAUUCAUUCAUGAUGCUACUGAAAAUUCUUAUGAGGGAGGAACAUAUGCUUGUAGAAAUUGCAAUAAUAUCAAGCUUCCUCUCUAUGUGCUUAAUAUCUUGAAGCUAUGCUUGUUUUACCUUCCUAUGCAAGUUGAUUCUUGUUCCCAUAAGUUGUUUGCUCACAAAAUACCUAUGCAUAGGAAGUAUGUUAGGCUUAAAUGUGCUAGUCAUAUUCUUCAAGAUGCUCUCUUUAUGUUUCAGUUCUUAUCCUUUAUGUGAGCAUCAUUGAAAUCAUCGUGCCUAGCUAGGGGCGUUAAACGAUAGCGCUUGUUGGGAGGCAACCCAAUUUUAUUUUAGUUCCUUGCUUUUUGUUCCUGUUUAGUAAUAAAUAAUUCAUAUAGCCUCUGUUUAGAUGUGGUUUUAUGCUUUUAAUUAGUGUUUGUGCCAAGUAGAACCUUUGGGAAGACUUGGGGAAAGUCUUGUUGAUCAUGCUUUAAAAAACAGAAACUUUAGCGCUCACGAGAAUUGCUGCCAUUUUUAUUUAGAGAGCUCUAUUUAGUUAAUUAUCUUUGAAUAUGAUUAAUAGAUAAAUUCCUCAGGUCCAGCAAUUUAUUUGAGAAUUUUAUGUGUUCCAGAAGUAUACGUUUGAUCCAGAUUACUACAGACUGUUCUGUUUUUGACAGAUUCUGUUUUUGAUGUGUUGUUUGCUUAUUUUGAUGAAUCUAUGGCUAGUAAAAUAGUUUAUAAACCAUAGAGAAGUUUUAAUACGGUAGGUUUAACACCAAUAUAAAUAAAGAAUGAGUUCAUUACAAUACCUUGAAGUGGUGAUUUAUUUUCAUAUACUAACGGAGCUUACGAGUUUUCUGUUAAGUUUUGUGUUGUGUAAUUUUCAAGUUUUGGGUAAGGAUUCGAUGGACUACGGAAUAAGGAGUGGCAAGAGCCUAAGCUUGGGGAUGCCCAAGGCACCCCAAGGUAAUAUUCAAGGAUAGCCAAGAGCCUAAGCUUGGGGAUGCCCUGGAAGGCAUCCCCUCUUUCGUCUUCGUUCAUCAGUAACUUUACUUGGAGCUAUAUUUUUAUUCGCCACAUGAUAUGUGUUUUGCUUGGAGCGUCAUUUUAUUUUCUUUAGUUUUGCUUGCUGUUUGAAUAAAGUACCAAGAUCUGAUAUUAUUAAAUGGGAGAGUCUUCACAUAGUUGCAUAAUUAUUCGACUACUCAUUGAUCUUCACUUAUAUCUUUCGGAGUAGUUUGUUGUUUGCUCUAGUGCUUCACUUAUAUCUUUUAGAGCAUGGUGGUAGUUUUAUUUUGAAGAAAUAGAUGAACUCUCAUGCUUCACUUAUAUUAUUUUGAGAGUCUUAAAUAGCAUGGUAAUUUGCUCAAAAUCCUAAUAUGCUAGGUAUCCAAGAAUAAUAAAAUUCUCUUAUGAGUGUGUUGAAUACUAUGAGAAGUUUGAUACUUGAUAAUUGUUUUGAGAUAUGGAGAUGGUGAUAUUAGAGUCAUUCUAGUUGAGUAGUUGUGAAUUUGAGAAAUACUUGUGUUGAAGUUUGCGAUUCCCAUAGCAUGCACAUAUGGUGAACCGUUAUGUGAUGAAGUCGAAGCAUGAUUUAUUUAUUGAUUGUCUUCCUUAUGAGUGGCGGUCGGGGAUGAGCGAUGGUCUUUUCCUACCAAUCUAUCCCCCUAGGAGCAUACGCGUAAUACUUUGCUUUGAUAACUUGUAGAUGUUUGCAAUAAGUAUAUGAGUUCUUUAUGACUAAUGUUGAGUCCAUGGAUUAUACGC
rnacentral:lncRNA from 1 species